GGUUAUCCUAAAAUCUCAUGGGUGUAGUUUUUAUAAACAUGCAUGCUUUUAAAUGGGAGUUUUCAAUCAAAUGCUAAUAACUUGCUUUCAACAUGAUUUCUAAGUCAUUUUUCUUUAUGUCAUGGGAAUUGUUUGCCUAUAUAUUUCAAUUGUGGAAACGAUGCAUAUGUGAUUUGAGAUUUUCCAUGAAAGUUUGAUAAAUAUGAAUGAUAAAUUGCUUUCAAAUUUCCAUGAUAAUGUCUUGAUACCCCAUAUCAUAUUGUGACUAACAAAAGAGAGCAUGAAUUUGAAAUAAUUAUUGUUCACCACUUGUAAAUGACUCAUCGCUGAAAACCGUGUUUGCCGACACGGGAAUUUGGUACCAGGCUAAGUGAUCUUGUGUACUUGACUUUAUGUCAUUCCCAAAUUGAGACUAUAGGUAGUCGCCCGGGCUAAGUGAUCUUGGGCACUACCAUUGGAUCGAGACAUCAUACUUCGUGGUCUUGUGUGUCUCUCCCUCACUUAUACUCUAAUCUCGGCGGCAACCGAGGUUUGACAGUUGGUGUAAAUUAUGUAGGGUAUUCCACCUAGCUCAGUUGCAUUUCAUUGUUGUUGAGAAACUAUUGCAUUAUGCCCAUGUGUUUUCAAAUCAUUUGAUAUGAAAUUGCUUUAUAAUGGCUCUCAACUAUAUUUUGUAAAAAUAUUAUGUUUUGUUUUGAUAUCUCUGUGUGCCAGUACUUUUGUGCUGACCCCCUCCCCUCCCAACUCUCAGGUUAGGAGGCUCAGUCUAGGGGUCAAGAGAAUCUUUUCAGACAGAGUUGUAGAGACAAGUGGUGAGCCUUCUAUAUUUCGAAAGGCCUUAUGUCCUAAGGUCUUUUAUCUUAUAUUAAGUUUUGGGGUCUACUGGGGGCCUUGUCCCAGUUUAUAUACAGUUACUUGACUCAGUCAUUUGUUAGAGAUUUUCACAGACGGUUUUUAGAGGUUGAUUCAUGUUGUGGGAACUUUAUUUUCCGUUAUUGUUCUUUUUCAUAUUUAUGACCAUGUUUCCAUAUUAUUGUGUUUCUUCCGCAUUACUUUGAUCAUAUGAAUUAUGUGCAUGAUUACCAAACAGAUAGGGGUGUUUUGGGCCUUGAUGGUUCGGAACACUCGUCACGGCCAGGGCCCCGGUUAGGGUCGUGACAUAUUAUUUUUCUUAGCAAACGUGAAAAAGGUAUAACAAUAAUUAAAAUGGGAUGGAUAAGAUAUUAAGAUUGUUAUUUUCAAUGUUUUCGGGUACACAAAUCUGUAUUUAGGCAUACAACAAGUUCAACACAAAUUCAAGUCUAAAACAAGAACACCUAUGAAGUAGCACAACACCUUCAACACAAGAUUAAAAAUAAUCUAUCCAAGAAGUGUGUUACAGUUUCAAAAAUAAGAUGAAACAGAAAUUUAAAGCCAAGUCCCCCGACUUCACGGAGUGUCCUUAAGGAAUAAUUCCCCUCACUGUACCGAGGUUAUGGAAUUUUUCUCCCAGGAUAAAAUGUCUUUCAAUCUAACAAUAGCGGUACCUCAAAUUAUUAGAUUCAUCGAACUCACUCAACGGCUAAUGAUCACACUGAGUUUUUGUACAGAAAAGUGUUUUUGUUGUCAAAAAUUAUAUUUAUACCAGAGGAAUAUGUCAGGUAUUUAUAACCUUAAGGUGUCCCUUCAAAAAGGAAGCAUUAGCUCAGCAAAAAGGUACCUAUGUUAGGUAUUUAUAGCAUUAAGAUGUCCCUUCAGAAAGGAAGCAUUGGUUCAUAUCAAUACCCGAGGAAUAUGUGUAUUUAUAGCCUUAAGGUGCUGGACCACCUUGUUCUUGCCUCACUAUCCAUGUGAAGAUGCGUUUCUCAAUAUAAACACAUGAAGGCUUUUUCUCCCACCAAUGUGGGAGAAUUUAGUAAGCUUUCCAUAAAAGAAUACACAAUCCAUUUUAGUGACUCUCUUUUCCGCCAUUAUUUUUUCCCUCUAUUUUCUAUUUAUACAUACACCUAGUAACUUUAGAUGACUAACAAAAAAAGAACAGAUUGAGAGGAAGAAGAAGAAUGAGAUAAGUAGAUGAGAAAGAUUAUUAGAUAGUGAAUAGAUUUUAUGUAUUCAUUGUUGACAUCUAAUUUUUGCUCUCCAUGCUUAAAAUUAACGUCUUCAGGCUUCUCGACCGUUAAAGAGUGCAAAACACAUUUUUCACACAUUUUUUUAUUUUUGACAAAUUACUGAUAAUCAUCCCCACUUUAGAAUUUUAUCAAUUUAUUAUCAUGUUUUGCUAUUCAUAAUUUAUUGAUAAUUCUCCGUACGUUAGAAUUUUUUCAUUAUCGUCUUUAAUAUUUUUUCACAAUCAUCUGCACACAUACACAACAUGACAUUACAUUUCUUUUUAUAAUAUUUUCAAGUUAAUUACAUUUUUCAAUUUUCUUUACAUUUUUUAAUUACAUAUCUAUUUUUAUAUAUUCUUAUAAUCCGCAAAAGCUAAGUCGGAUCAAUUAAUUUUAUAUAGUAUAAUAAUUCGAUGUCUUGUCGCAUUCAACAACGAUCACACAAUAAUGUCUUGCCACAUCCGACAAUGACUACACAAUGAUGUCUUGUCACAUCCGAUAACGACUAUACAUAAUGUCUUGUCACAUCUGACAAUGACCACUCAAUGACAUUAUCCUUUGGACAAUAAUUUUAUCUAUUGAUCAAAAAGAUGAAAAUCCUUUGGUCAAUACCCUAAGGAGCAAAGGAUGUGCUAUUAUAUAAAGAGGGAACAUCUCUUUAUCCAUUGGACAAUAAGAGGUGCCCAAUUUCAUUAUAAAUAGGAGUGAUGGGAAGACAUUUCCACACACACAUUUUUAUUCUUCCUCUCUCUCAAAAAAUCCACACAUAUUUUUCACCUGUUUCUCCUCUCCCUCAAACACAAAAAAUUUUAGUCAUCUUUUUCCUUUCUCUCACACACACAUUUCAUUCUUCUUUCUCCCCUCUCCCAAAAUAUAAACAAAUCGAUUUUCUUUUUAUAAAUAUUUAUUUUUUUCAAAAAUACAACACACAUAUUUUUUCUCUUCUCACAUACAGAUACACAAAUAAAAUACACAUUCACAAAUACAUAUACACAUUUUUCAUCCCCACAUAUUUUUCUUUAUCUCUCAAACACACAUUUCUUCACUAUACACACACAUUCUUCACCACACAUAUUUUUGUCAUACACAAAUUUUGUUCAUCUUUUUCUUUUUCUCAAAAACACACACAUAUGCUCAAAAUAAACAUGCGGCCGAGGACAUUAUCCCUCUGUCGGAUAUUUGAGGCCAUCACAUUAUAAAAGACGGAUUUGUAUUUCUUAACUUUGUCUAUUUUAUAUAAAUACAUGGCCAAUGACAUUAUCUCUCCAUCGGAUACUUGAGGCCACCCCGUAACAAAAGAUGAAUUUUUAUUUCUCAAAGUUUACUUAUUUACAUAAAAAUUAAAUGCUUGGCCGAUGAAAAUAUCUUUCCGUCGGAUUUUUGAGGUCACCCCAUUACAAAAGAUGGAUUUUUAUUUCUCAAAGUUUACUUAUUUACAUAAAAAAUAAAUGUUUGGCCGAUGAAAAUAUCUUUCCUCGGAUUUUUGAGGCCACCCCAUUACAAAACACGGAUUUUUAUUUCUCAAAGUUUACUUAUUUACAUAAAAAAUAAAUGCUUGGCCGAUGAAGAAAUUCUCCGUCGAUUUUUGAGGCCUCCAUAAAUAAAAGACGGAUAUUACAUAUAUAAAUACAUAGUAAAAAAUUAAAUAUUUAGGGCAAUAAAGAAACUUUUAUAACACCACGACAACACAAAAGGUUUUAUGAUUCGUAUCUUGGCAAGGCGAUUUAGGACGGCCGAUUAGUUGAGCAACCACUUCGUAGCUAUGACUAGUAUAAAACUUAAUUCGAGCCCACGUUAUAAUAAAAAUUUAUUUUUAUACGUACAUCUAUUUGUACAUGUGUGCACAUUAUUUCACUUACUUUAAUAAUUAUUUGUUCAUUUUAUUACUUUAUUAAGUACUUAUAUAUAAUUCUCGAGCUAAAUGUUUGUAGUUUAUUUUCAUUUUCUAAUUGUACAUAAAGAUAAAAACUACUGAAAACUUUACUUUUUGAGUGCCGGGCGGAGAUAUUCUUUAUUUACAUAACUUCAUCACUUUUAGGCAAAACUUAGGCCGGUAAUAUUUACAUAAACGAAUCAAGUUAAUCAAGUAAUUCACGUAUUGUGUAAUCUUUUCUUUCUCAAAUAAAUUUUACUUUUUCAUAAUUUAAAUCAAAUAAAAAUAUUACUUGUAAAUACCUUUUCUUUUCAUGACACAUUAAAAUACAUUGCUUUUCGGACGUCAUAUAAUACGUUUCUUUUUCACAUGUAAUUUAUACAUUUUAUACAUAUCUUUUACAUGUUUUUAUUUAUAUAGUUAAUAUACAUAUACUUUUACAUGGUUUUAAACAUUUAUAUUUUUUUCAAAGAAUUAUUUUAUACUUAAUACACAUACACUUUUAUAUUAUUUUAAAUAUUUAUACCUCCUCCCUCAUUGAUAAGUUUAGUCUAGCCUGGUACCACAUUUGUGGAUCCUGAAGGGUGCCUAACCUCUUCCCUUCGGGAUAAUUUGAACCCUUACCUAGAGUCUCAAUAGGUUUUCGCAGACAAACAUUAAUCACAUGUAUUAACAAAUAAAUAGGUUUCCUUAUUUUCCUUUAAAAAUUAGGUGGCGACUCUAUACAAAAUUUUAAUUCUUUAGAGUCCAAAAAGUCAUGUUUUGUUUAAUCUCGGCAAAAACAGGGCAUGGCAUUCAUCAUCCUUCAAUGUGCAUGGACAUAUACAUUUAUAGGCUAGUGAUUAGGCAAACUAACUAACUAGACGUUAGUACUAGUGCUACUAACCGAAAGCAGUUAUAACAGAAAAUCAACUAGUCUAUUAUUGCUUCUUCGAGAUUCUUCUCCACUCUCUUCUUCAUACUUCAACACUAACGCCGUCAUUGUCAUCGCUCGGCUACGAAAAACGAUCGAGAGACUAUGUUUUUGACAAAAUUCACUUGAAACGUAAGUGUUAAUGAGGAUGCAAUCCUUUAGUUCACUAUUUGAGUAACGAAAAUAGGACUUGUGGGCGCACUUAGGUAUCUGUGGUUGCAGAUACCAACGAAUGUCAGUCUCAACUUUCUGGUUCAAGUGCAAUGUGACAUGCGGCCGCAUCUCGUUAUGUGCAAACAGAAAUGGGUCCGCAUAUGGAUCUGACAACAUUCUGAAACAGUGCAACUCUUCAUGAACCAUUGCUUCUUUUCUGAUGCAACACCUUUUGGCUAUAAAUAUCUUAUUUUCCUCAGAUAUCAACACGAAAUUAUGAAAUUAAUAUACUCCUCUUUCUUACAAAACUCAAGUGUGAUUUUCUACCGUUGAGUGAGUUCGUUGUUCGGCAGAAUUUGAGGUAACGCCAUAAUGUUGAAGUGAUUCAUUUUAUCCUGAGAGGAUAUAUUCCAUAACCUCGGGUACUUGAAGGAAGUAAUUUCCUUAAGGACACACUGUGAAUUCAGUGGACUUGAUUCUUCUAAUCUUCGAUCUCUUUCUUGUUAGAGUUAUUCAUUUUCCAGAAAAUUGUUUGAAUUUGUUGAAGUUCAUAUUGGAAUACAGAUUUUAUUUAUGCCCGAAAUAACAGCAGUCACACGUAGACAUGUAUUGAUGAUAAGAAUUGAGAGGUUUGAGUUUUCAUGCCUGCUUUGAUAUACUUUACUUGAGCCGCCAAGUCUUCAUCUGUGAGAUUACACCGGGUACGUUGUUAUAUAUAUAUUAUUGUAUACAUGGUUAGAGUUGGAAGCAAUGUGUUUGAUUGAACACGCAGCAAAGGGCCUCUGGUUCUUAGUUUACAUAGACUGUUACAACGGCCGCCACAUCAAUCUUUUUUCUCUAAUAAUCAUGGUGUAAAAUGCUCCUCCAUCAACUAUGAUGUUGCCUAAACUGGCUUUGAAGUUUCUAAUUUCUAAGUCAUGGCAAAUGUUCAAUGAAACGUCUAGUCAGCGAAUUGCCUGGAACGGUCAAUGGGUGUUGCCGCACUGUAACAUGUACAUUCAGGUGAACCACCUCUGACAACUUGUAACAGCAGCCUCCUGCACAAGAAACACGAUAACGGAUCAGUUAAGGUGACGGUGAAGAAAGCUGACAGAUCUUGAGUUUUGACUCAACAACAAAGCUCACGCGAUGAAUGCGCAAGACCAUACAACACAACAGCUCAUUCUCUCGACCAAUAUGGGAAAAUAGACACCCUCUCCCAUCUCCUCGCACCCACACCCAAGAACUAGACAUCUGAAGCAUAGAAAAUAGAAUGGAGGCUCAAUGGGUAAAUCAAGAAAUAGGAAUUGAGUAUUACUCUAAUAUCAAACCAAGCUAGAUGUUGCAGGUACUAUAGUUUUAUAGUAGUAUUUUGGAUACGCACCUCCACAUUAUAGUCAGGUGGACUUCAUUCAAAAGACAGGAAUUUUUCGGGAGCUGAAAAUAUACGAAAAGAGAAGGUAAUCUACUGGGAUUCCUGAUGUAUACUCGAUCAUGUUAGCUUUACCGGAAAUACAAUAAUGCUAGGAACUCAGCAGGUUCUUCAUUUUCUUUCACAACCUGUCAAUCACACAUUUAGAGAGAAUAAGCAUUGAGAUAAAUUGUCACGACCCGAACCGGGGCCUUGGCCGUGACGAGCAUUCCGAACCAUGAAGGCCCGAAACACCCCUAUUUGUCUGAUAAUCAUGCACAUAACUCAUAUGAUAAAAGAAAUGCGGAAGAUAAACAAUAUUACGGAAAUAUGGUCAAGAAUCACAUGAAAUCAAUAACGGGGAAUAAUGUCCCACAAUCUCAACACAACAUCUCUAUAACGUCUGCGAAAUCUCUACUACAUGAUUGAAACAAAUAACUAUCUGAAAACUGGGACAAGGCCCCUAGUAGACCCAAAACUAAUAAAUGAUAAGUGAAACUGUAUAGAAGGCUCACCAAGUGACUCUGCAAAUUUGUCUGAGGAAUCUAUUGAUUUUCUGGACCCUUAGACUGUGCCUCCCAACCUAGGAGGGAAGGGGGUCAAUACAAAAGUACUGGUACGCAGAGAUAUCAAAACAAAACAUAAUAUUUUUAUAAAAUAUAGUUGAGAGCCAUUAUAAAGUAGUUUCAUAUCAAAUCAUUUGAAAAAACAUGGGCGUAAUGUAAUUGUUUUCAACAACAAUGUAAUGCAGCUGAGCUAGGUGGAAUACCCUACAUAUCACAUUUACACCAACUGUCAAACCUCGGUUUCCUCCGAGAUUAGAGUAUAAGUGAGGGGAAGACACAAGAUCACACAGUAGGGUGUCUCGACCCAAUGGUAGUGCACAAGAUCACAAAGCAGGGCUCCUAACCAUAGUCCCAACUUGGGAAUGACAUAAAGUCAGGUACGCAAGAUCACAAAGCAGGGUACCAAAUUUCCAUGUCGGCAAACACAGUUUCCAGCGAUAAGCCCUUACACUCAAACGCAUUCUUCGAGCAUCCACCUAUCUCAUCUAAAAUCAAUGCAUUCAAAUUUUAUCUGAUUCAAUCACAUAUCAUAUUUUGUAGGGUAUCAUGAUACCCGACUUGCAAACCAUCAAUAUCAUAUCAUUCUUCUCAUUCAACCAUUGUAUUCAACAUGUUUCAACACAAGUAGCCCUCUCAUUUUCAAGUCAAAAUUAUUUCAAUUCUCAAAACAUUUCAUGUCAUGCUUUUCAAGAUGUUUUCAAACAAUUUGCAUCAUAUGAACAUUUAAAACAAAUUCACAUCAAGAGAGGAAUUCCAUAUAAUUCAUGCACUCAAAUUAACACAUUUUCGAAACACAUUCAUAUACAUAUAUAAUAUGUCAAAUCACUUCGAAAAUAGACCUAAAGACCAAAUCAAUAUUAUAGAAACGUUCAAAACAUGAUUAUAUUCGUAGUUUCAAAACUCCCAUUGUAAAACAUAAAUUUAAAGGCCGAUGAGAUUUUAGGAUAACCCCACGUACCUCUAUAUGCGAAGAUGAUAGGUGUUUCUUGAAGCCUAUGUUCUAGGGAUUCCAAAUAUGCAAUUAGUUUCAAAAACCCACGGUUGAAUCUUGAGUUGCUUGGGUUUUUAUUUUGAAACCCUAAGGAGAGUUCUUGAGCAAUUUUGAUGUAUGAAGGUGUAUUUUUGGGUAUUUGGGGACUGAAUUUUGUGUUUAUGGUUAAAUAAGAGUGGGAAAAGGACCAUUUUUCCCCAAAAACGGAGUGUUUAAGUAACUUGAGUAGUAAUGUAUGUGGCGCACACCUUAUCGCAUAAUAUAGGUUGUGCGGCGCACUCUUUAUCUCACAUAUUAGGUUGUGCGGUGCACACCUUAUGGCAUAAGUUAGGGUGUGCAUCGUACACCUUAUGUUGCACGACACACUCUACUUUGUAACGCCAUAACUUCUUCCUCGGGUGUUGGAUUUUUGUGAAAUUGGUAUCAUUCGAAAGAUAAUUUGAAGGCCUUUCAUUUGAUAUAUAGUAGGCACUCUAAUUCAAUAUAUACAAAGAGUAAUGACUAAUUGAAUUUGACCCAAGUUUUGACGCUUACUAAAACUCAAUCGAUGGAAAAGCUUUCAACUCGUCCUUGAGUUAGGGGACCUCUAUGAUCUCAAUUCAUGCUCAACUAGAUUUAUACACCACAUAGUUGAUUAAAACACUAUAUUCACAAUUGAUUUUAUGGGUUUUGGAAUGUGUACAAGUAGAAAUGACAAUUUACGUUCAAGUCUGAAAGAAUGGGGUGUUACAUUAUCUCCCCCUUGGGAUCAUUCAUCCUCAGAUGAUGGGUAGGAACUUGUUGAAGCCUUAAAGGUAUGGAAUAACGUGGACACGACAUGUCCUCUAAUAAAGAAUACACUGAUCAGAAACAUGACCAUAUGGCUGGAACUACUGAUAUUCUGAAUUCUUAUAUCGGACAUGCAUAUCUGAUGCAUAGAAUACACGACUGAAGCUACUCAUAAGCUGAGUUAUAAUAAUGAACAUGCAUACCUGAUGCAUGGAUUUUUUACUGAGUUGUUCUCAUGAAAGCAAAACUGAAUACACUGAUAAGCUGAACUUUUUCUAUUGGACAUGCAUUUCUAAUGCAUGUAUAUCUGAUUGAAUUGACGUAUGAACGUAUGACUGAAUACGCAAUGAUAACUGGUGCGGAGCUUGUAAUAAGAAUCUAUGCAUGCAACUGAAUGGGGUGUCUCCCCCUUGGGAGCCUAUGUCCUUCUAUGAAUGCUCAAUUCACUAAGAUGCUUAAAAAACUGAGGCGAUGAACUAGGCACCUACAAAUUUAAUCAUAUUUGAACAUCUAGAAUCUGAAUCUAGUACAUGACGCAUGAAUUGAGCUAUACUCGCAAAUACUAGUAUACUCUAUCUUGGAAUAGUAACAUAUAUGAGAUUUUGGGUAGCAUGAUUAAAUAAAGAGACGAGAAAACAAGUCAUGCGAAUCUGACUGCUAAACUGAUUUGCUGGCCACAUAGACUGACUAUACUGGAAACUUAUACUCAGUCGGAAGUAUCUCUUAACUUACUAUUAUCCUUAAUUACCAUACUCAUUGAUUCAAGUUAUAAUCCUUAUAAAUCUUUCUACUAUUGUCUAAAGUAGCUUAAAUCCUUUCACGGUGAUCAAGCCAAAUUUUAAAUCACAAAAUACAACAUGCCACAUACUAGUCUAAACCAUAUGAUUCAGUCUUCUGUAUCCUCUUUAGAGAUCACACCCUAAGCAUAACGUGCCUUACCACUUCAACAACCAACUCUGAACUCUUACUAUGGAUUUACUAGAGCAUAUUGUGUUCCUCCACUUAAAUCCCAAUAUGUCAUUCAAGCCUAUCUUUAUAACCACAUAUGACCUCCAAGGCAAACACUCAUAAGGACAUACUUCACAUAUUCUCUAAACCACUAUCAAUAUAACUCCCAUGCGCUACCCCAAGAACAUACACACACAAAUUCUCACUAAACAUCACAUAUAUCAAAGAUUUGGCCCCAAACUUACUUAACACUUAAGGCCUUAUCUAAAACAAGCAUACUAUGCUUUUUAUCAAUAGGAAAAAAUUUACUCCUCACAACCAUCCUCACAUAAGGAGUCACAAAAGACUAAAACAUAAGAUUUUGAAACAUAGAAGGGUAUUAUAUGAAACUUAACACUUAACUGAGGCAUGAGGAAUAGCAAAUCAACAUUCGGGAUUUAUCAAAGCACUUUGAAUUUAGGGUAUUUAUGGCUAUAAGCUGAAUCUCGCCAAUCAUUUGGUGUAAAACAUGAGUUAUGGAGACUGAGCAUACUAUAGGGUGCAAACAUAUAUUUCAUGAGCUGCAUGACCUCAAUUUGGAGUUUGUAACAUAUGGAAUGUAAUUCCAACUACUGAAUGAACUGGAAAUCUUCAUUUUAGAACUGGAAGAGUACAUGAUUCGCUAUAACAAGUAUGAUCAUGAACUACGAUUAUCAAACAGACAUGUAAGGUAUGAGUAUGUAUUGGGAUCACUGAAAAAUACUGAGAUAGGAAUGGGUUGAGUCUCACUCUCACUUUCUGACGUUCUAUGUCGUCAUGACACCACUACUAGAAUCUGAGAGCCUGACUUGGUUAUUCGUUCUAUCAUCUCCCCCUUGGCUUUAAGUCAUCAUCUUAAGUUUGGGAGAUCCCAUACGAGACUUUAAACUUAACCGCACUCACUGCACUCUGGGGUCUGAAAUAUGAUAAUACAAAAAAUUAAUAGAACUUAACCCGAAAGCCCACACAGGAAAGUGGAAAGCCCACUGCUAAUACUAUCUUCUGAGAUACACUAUAUAUUUUGAUAGCCCAAUAGUCAUAGUAUAAUGCUUGCACACUUAUUUCUAUCGGUUCAACUUUCAAAACUCAAACUUAGAUUCUAACACUUAACAUGGAUAUCACCAAGCCUUUGAUGAACCAUACCACUUCCGUCCUAGCAUACCAAUAUUGCUACUCCAAACUUAUAUCUCUCUACCAUGAGAAUCGAAACCACAUCAAAAGGCUCAACACUAUCAAUCAAGGCUCCUUAACUUGGUUGUCUAGAUCACCAUAUACCAUCUAACUAGUCUUUCUCCAACUAGCAACUCAACGGUACCACUGGUCACAAGCAACAUGUAAUAGUCUUAGAGAAAUGCCACAACUCCAUAUCGCCUUAGGAAUACUUACACACUAUACCUACAACAUUAUACUUCAUUAUGAAUCAACUUAAACUUAAGCCAUUUCAUACACCGUUCAAGCCUAUUAGAUCACUUCCAUUACCAUAUAACUAGCAUCAUUAACCAAGAAAUUAUCACAUCCACCUUCAUGGACUUCAACUGUUCAUAACUUAAGGUCUAGUCCUAAACAUGAUUUUUCAACCCAACAUUACGCGUGAUUCUCACUUGGAAACCAUGAAAUAAACAUCAAGAAACACUAGUACACUAGAACUUCAUAACCACAAUAAUCAAUCUUGACCUUACGGUCUUCCUUAUUAUAACUCAUUAGCACGUACUACUUCAACACAUCAAGCCUACUAAAUUCAAAACAUACAUCAUUAAUCUUAUGCCACUAUUUUUACCACCACAUUCUACACUUGAAGUCAAGCCUAUAGUUUAGCGUCAAUCGUCUNNNNNNNNNNNNNNNNNNNNNNNNNNNNNNNNNNNNNNNNNNNNNNNNNNNNNNNNNNNNNNNNNNNNNNNNNNNNNNNNNNNNNNNNNNNNNNNNNNNNNNNNNNNNNNNNNNNNNNNNNNNNNNNNNNNNNNNNNNNNNNNNNNNNNNNNNNNNNNNNNNNNNNNNNNNNNNNNNNNNNNNNNNNNNNNNNNNNNNNNNNNNNNNNNNNNNNNNNNNNNNNNNNNNNNNNNNNNNNNNNNNNNNNNNNNNNNNNNNNNNNNNNNNNNNNNNNNNNNNNNNNNNNNNNNNNNNNNNNNNNNNNNNNNNNNNNNNNNNNNNNNNNNNNNNNNNNNNNNNNNNNNNNNNNNNNNNNNNNNNNNNNNNNNNNNNNNNNNNNNNNNNNNNNNNNNNNNNNNNNNNNNNNNNNNUUUUUUUUUUCAAAAACACCAUGAUAGCAAGAUUACAUAUUACAAGAGAUAGGAAAUUGACACAUAAUAUUUAAUGGUCUAAGAAUACACAUCUUACUCUGUAUAAAUAAAAAUCUGAGUAAAAUACUUCCCCCAUGGUUACCAUACCAUCCACACGUGCUACUAGCUACCACAUUAGUUUAUCACUAUAAAGGGAUAAAUCAUCCUCAAACAUCGGUUAUUCAACUGGAAUAUUCAUUUACACCAAAAAUCACCCUCACUAUGACUUCUAACUUUGUGACUUCACAUCACUAACUUCUUGGUCUAAUUUCAUUACCAAUAGGUCAUGACAACAACACUUUAACUUAUGCUACUAUUCGGGUGGAAAUACAGUUCCAACAUUCUGCUAUACACCAUCCACAUCUGUAUCAAGAUUUUUGAGAGGGACUAGAUUCACUUAAUACCUUAAGCUGGAAAGUACGAUUCCAUCAGGAUCAAUGUUUACAUCAGAAUCAACACAAAUUGAAGCACCAACAGACUCCUCUCGAGUCUUUGCACAAUUUUUUUCUUAUAUGAAACAAUCGGAAAAGACUAUAUCAUGUAGAUUCUAAACUUUUUGCACUUGAAUCACCCCAAUAAUGGGACAUGUCUGAGAACAUCUAAGUAAGGAAAGAAUUUGGGAUAACUUUACCUUCAUAUGAGCGACACCAUAGCACGAAUGACAGUAUGGAAGAGGAACAUUUUGACUCUAUUGCACGAACUGGAACAUGAAGAAAGAGAGACAUUCCUAAACGCCUAGUAGCCUCCUGCUUAUAAGUGUGGCGUUCUAGACACCUAUCAAUAAGACUCUACCCGACGCAAUUUCACAGACACCCUGGGACCAUGAAUCGUGCUUUCAUACCAAGUUUGUCACGACCCAAACCGGGGCCCCGGCCGUGACGAGCAUUCUGAACCAUGAAGGCUCGAAACACCCCUAUUUGUCUGAUAAUCAUGCACAUAACUCAUAUGAUAAAAGAAAUGUGGAAGAUAAAUAAUAUUACGGAAACAUGGUCAAGAAUCACAUGAAAUCAAUAGUGGGGAAAAUGUCCCACAAUCUCAACACAAUAUCUCUAUAACGUCUGUGAAAUCUGUACUAUAUAACUGAAACAAAUAUCUAUCUGAAAACUGGGACAAGGCCCCCAGUAGACCCAAAACUAAUAAAUGAUAAGUGAAACUGCCAGAUAUCAUGCCUUCCGAAAUAUAGAAGGCUCACCAAGUGACUCUGCAAAUCUGUUUGAGGAAUCUACUGAUUUUCUGGACCGCUAGGUUGUGCCUCUGAACCUGGGAGAGAAGGGGGUUAAUACAAAAGUACUGGUACGCAGAGAUAUCAAAACAAAACAUAAUAUUUUUAUAAAAUAUAGUUGAGAGACAUUAUAAAGCAGUUUCAUAUCAAAUCAUUUGAAAACACAUGGGCGUAAUGUAACUAUUUUCAACAACAAUGUAAUGCAGCUGAGCUAAGUGGAAUACCCUACAUAUCACAUUUACACCAACUGUCAAACCUCGGUUUCCGCCGAGAUUAGAGUAUAACUGAAGGAAAGACACACAAGAUCACACAGCAGGGUGUCUCGACCCAAUGAUAGUGCACAAGAUCACAAAGAAGGGCUCUUAACCAUAGUCCAAACUUGGGAAUGACAUAAAGUCAGGUAUGCAAGAUCACAAAGCAGGGUACCAAAUUUCCAUGUCGGCAAACACGGUUUCCAGCGAUGAGCCCUUACACUCAAACGCCUUCUUCGGGCAUCCACCUUUCUCAUGUAAAAUCAAUGCAUUCAAAUUUCAUUUUUUUUUCAAUCACAUAUUGUAUUUUGUAGGGUAUCGUCAUACCCGACUUGCAAGUCAUCAAUAUCACAUCCAAGGUGUUUCAUCAUUUACAAGUGGUGAACAAUAUUUAUUUCAAAUUCAUGCUCUCUUUUGUUGAUGACAAUAUAAUAUGGAGUAUCAAAACAUUAUCAGAGAAAUUUGAAAACAAUUUCUCAUUCAUAUUUAUCAACUUUCAUGGAAAAUCUCAAAUCACAUAUGCAUGGUUUCAACCAUUGAAGUACAUAGGCAAACAAUUCCCAUGACAUAAAGAAAAUGACUUAGAAAUCAUAUUGAAAGCAAGAUAUUAGCAUUUGAUUGAAAACCCCCAUUUAAAAGCAUGCAUGUUCAUAAAACUACAGCCAUGAGAUUUUUUUGGAUAACCCCAUGCACCUCGAUUACUAUGAAUAUUAGGUGCAUCUUGAAGCCUACGUUGAGAGGAUUCCAAUUAUGCAAUUAGUUUCUAAAACCCACGGUUAAAUCUUGAGUAGGUUAGGUUUUUAUUUUGAAACCCUAAGGAGAAUCUUGAGCACUUUUGAUAAAAGAAUAUGUAUUUUGGGGUCCUUGGAACUAAAUCUCAUGUUUUAGGGCUAAGUAAGGGUGGAAAAGGACCACUUUGUUCUCAACACGGAGUGUUUAAAUCACUAGAGUUCCUUACAUAGGCGCCGCCCAUCCCAUCUCCUAUGUUCACAAAGGCGCUGCUUUCCAAUGGCCAUGGGCGAUUGGUUAGGCGUCGCUUAUCACUUUGAAAGGCCAUAACUUCUUGCUCGGGUGUUGGAUUUUAGCCAAAUUGGUAUCUUUGGAAAGCUAACUCGAAUACUUAUCAUUUGACACAUAGUAGGUUCCCUAAUUCGGUAUAUACAGAGUGUUAUGGUCUAAUGAAGCUGACACAAUUUACAACGUCCACUAAAACUUAGUCGAUCAAAAUAGUUUCAACUCGUCCUUGAGUUGAGGGACCUCUAUGACCUAAAUUCAAGCUUGAGUGGAUUUCACAUGCUACACGAUAAUUAACAUGCCAUGUUGGCAUAGGAUUUUAUGGCUUCGGGAUUAACAACGCAUCGAAAUCAUGGUCUAUAUUGUAGCCCAAAUUGCGGGGCGUUACAUCUAUCAAGUAAAAUCAUUGCACGUGUUCAAUCUAACAGUCGAAAUUCAAACUUUAUUAGAUGAACAUUAUGAAAUAGUAGUAGAUACGUACCACCUGAGAAUAACAAGGCCAUGUUCCUUUAAACAAGCUAGUAAAUCUCUCAUUUUAAAUAGACCACGAUUCUGAAAAUGACAUUACAAGAAUAGCAUUUCCUAAUUAGAAAAACAUAUAAGAACAAAUAGUACCAGCAAAAGUGAAAAAUAAUUAAGGUGUUUGUCAGAGAGAUCAUCUCAAGCCCGACGAACUAGGCUGAGAAUGAUCCUCUUCAACUCCAUCAACCCGGGUGGAAGGAAAUGGUGGCCUAUUCAUCACGCUCUAGUCUCAUUCCUGUAGCUCUAUCAGACUUGGUUUUCUAAGCCUAUGAAUGAGAUAUUAGAAAACAAUUUGACUUUGUAUUGGGUAGGGACUGCGCGAACGCAGGACCCUGCUGCCACAAAUUAUGACGUAGGCUCAACCACUUGGAUAGACCUUAGGCAGGCACCCCACCAAAGUGCAAUGGAGGUCACCAACCUAGGCCAUGGGCCUUCAUGAUCACCCAUUGACCCCGUCCAGGUAAGUAUGUUUUCCUGAUGUACUUGGCCCUUUUUUAUAGUAUCUCCAUGCUACUAUUGAAUCUUCUUUACUUAACGAUGUGGGACUAAGUGCAUCUUUCUGUAUUUAGUAUAACAAACUAAUAAUCAUGAAAACUUAACAGUGUUAGUUUAACUCUGAGGCAGGAAACGUUCGAUUCAUUCAGUUUAAAUCAAAACUAACAUAUGAGAUAAAUAAUCCUUUCAUUUUUUUUCUCGAUGAUAAUGUAAACACCAUGAUAGUACCAGAAAAAAGAGUUGGUAAGUCUGUCACACAACCAAGAGACCAUCUCUAGCCCAGCGGACCAGGCUGAAAACGAUUCUGAGAGUAGAGCUCCACCAAAAAGAAUUGGGAGUCUGUCAGAUAGCCACGAGACCAUCUCAAGCCCAGCGGACCAGGCAGAGAAUGAUCAUCUACGGCACCAUGACCCAAAGGCCAUGGAGGCUGUUAAUCACAGGCUGAUAACGAUUCUGAGAGUAGAGCUCCAGCAAAAAGAAUUGGGAGUCUGUUAGAUAGCCACAAGACCAUCUCAAGGCAGAGAACGAUCAUCUACGGUACCAUGACCCAAAGGCCAUGGAGGCUGUUAAUCACGCUCUAGUCUCAUAGCUACUAUUCAUCCACCGAUUCUGAGAGUAGAGCUCCAGCAAAAAGAAUUGGGAGUCUGUUAGAUAGCCACAAGACCAUCUCAAGGCAGAGAACGAUCAUCUACGGUACCAUGACCCAAAGGCCAUGGAGGCUGUUAAUCACGCUCUAGUCUCAUAGCUACUAUUCAUCCACCGAUUCUGAGAGUAGAGCUCCAGCAAAAAGAACUGGGAGUGUUUCCUGUCUCCUUAGAAAUCAAGGUUACAGUGGUACGAGCCUAUAGAACAGAUCCUGUUCAAGUAAGGUCGUGUCUGUUCAUGUUGCUGCAACAACAUAUAUACACUUGGUCGCGUUGCUAGCUUAUCAAUGUGGGACACGAGGUGGGGAAAAAAAUAUAUUCAACUCUGUAACUGGCUGUAUGAGUGUACAACUGCCAAAAAAAUGUACAAUUAAUUCAGAUUUGUAUUUAUAUUAAAGUAUCUGGUUAGAACAAUUGAAAGAGAUAAUUUGUGUUUAACAUUGCAAUUGCAUAUACAAUGGAGACCAUGUGCUAAGCAACCAAUGAGAUGAUAAAAAAUUAUACUUUGAAUUGGGUAGGGACGGCGUUUAACACAGGCCCCACUGUCACAAAUUAUGACGUAGGCUCGACCACUAGGGCUGACCUUAGGCAGGCACCUCUCCGGAGUGUGCAAUGGCGGUCACCAGCCUAGGACAUGAGCCUUGUUGAUCGCCCAUUGACCCCGUCCAGAUAAGUAUGUUUCAUAAAUGUCCUUGGCCCAUUUAUAUAGUAUCUCCCUACUACUAUUCUAUCUUCUUCACUUGACGAUGUUGGACUAUUAGUAUUGCACAGUAGUAUCUAGCUGCAGCAGCACAUGCUGGAGAAGAAAUGAAGACAGACAAGAAUGUUGAGUUUUGUUGAAUAGAAACUCAUAUUGAUAUGAAAAAUGUUAUAUGCUUGUUCGCUUAGUUAUAGUCGGGUGAUAUGAGCGAAAGAAAUGAAGGGUAGUGGAGAAUGAUCCUCUACGGCUCCAUGACCCCUGAAACGCCGUGGAGGCUGUUAAUUAGGCUUUUAUCCUAUGGUCGCGGUUCAUCCACCAGACUUGAUUUUUGUUUUCCUUAAUACUCAAUGAAGGUGGAUGAACCUUCAUGGUGGAUCCAAACUGGAUUGCACUAUUCAAAUAGAGUGUUUUGCCAUGUUGCUAGAAUUCUUAGUUGAAACUGCAUGCUAUAUGCGUGGAAAAGCAGAAGAUGCUAAUGUAACAUGUCUAUACCAUUCACUGUUCUAUAUAUUCUGUAUAUUAAGGUUACUAUCAGUUAAUAUCUUUGCCGAAUUGUUGGUGUCAUAAGCACUCACAAAGUUGCAGGACGAUGUACAUUCUGCUUGGUGUGUGUGUGUUGGUUAAUAUCUAGAUUUGUGUUGUACUGUAUCCUUGAUUUCUAAGGAGACGGGAAACCAAGCUUGGUGGAUGAAUUUGUGUGGCUAUGAGACUAGAGCGUGAUUAACAAUGGUGUCGUAGAUUAACCAUGGCCUUUGGGUCAUGGUGCCAUAGAUGAUCGUUCUCUGCCUGGUCCCCUGGACUUGAGAUGGUGUUGUGGCUAUCUGACAGACUUACCAACUCUUUUUUAUGGUACUUAUCAUGUUGUUAUCUGAAUAUUAUUGGCUUAUCUGGCAAUGCAAAACGUAUGCAGCCGAUGAAGAGAACUCUGCUCGCCCUUAUUAGACGAUGAAUAUGUAGAUGAUCGUUCUCUGCCUGGUCCGCUGGGCUUGAGAUUGUCUCGUGGCUAUCUGACAGACUCCCAAUUCUUUUUGCUGGAGCUCUACUCUCAGAAUCGUUAUCAGCCUGGCCCGCUGGCUGGGGAGACUAGAGCGUGAUUAACAGCCACCACGGCCUUUGGGUCAUGGUGCCGUAGAUGAUCGUUCUCUGCCUAGUCCGCUGGGCUAGAGAUGGUGUCGUGGUUAUCUGAUAGACUUACCAACUCUUUUUUCUGGUACUAUCAUGUUGUUAUCUGAAUAUUAUUGGCUUAUCUGGUAAUGCAUAACGUAGAACACCGUUUUGAUUUUAGUAAUUACUGAAAAUUGUCUUCUUUCUAUAGUAGAGAUAGUUACAUGUAAUGACAGAUCCCAGCUAUAGUACUAAAAGCUUGUGGAAAGAAUCUGAUUUACAACAACUUGGAAAUUACUGUGUAUUCCUUCAAGGAGGCUUGUCUGAAAGUUCAACAUUGACAUUUGUUGUGUGACUAUCGACUAUCAUUUAUGUGAAGACUUACUCCCACAUCGCUAAGUGAAGAAGACAAAAGAGUAACGAGGAGAUACUAUAAAAAUGGGCCAAGGACUACCAAGAAACAUACUUACCUGGACGGGAUCAAUGGGCGAUCAACAAGGCCCAUGGCCUAGGUUGGUGACCUCCAUUGCACUUUGGAGGGGUGCCUGCCUAAGGUCGGCCCAAAUGGCCGAGCCUACGUCAUAAUUUGUGGCAGCAGGGGCCUGCGUUCGCGCGGCCCUUACCCAAUUCAAAGUUCAAUUGUUUUGAUUUGUCUCGUUUAUAUUUUUAUAUGAUAUGAUCAACUGCUUGAUCAAGUACUCUUUAUAGUUUGUAUCUUUUCCGGUUGCAAGCCUCUCAGUGGAUCUUUUAACUGUUGGAUUGAAUGUGUGCAAUGAUUUUACCCCCAGGAUAAAAUGAAUCUUUUUAUUCUACAAAUUGUUCUUGUAAUAAUGUUUGAAUUUUAACUGUUGGAUUGAAUGUGUGCAAUGAUUUUACUCCCAGGAUAAAAUGAAUCACUUCAGCAAAAUGGUGGUUCCUCAAAUUCUGCCGAACAACGAACUCACAAAACGGUAGCAAAUCACACUUGAGUUUUGUAAGAAAGAGGAGUAUUUUAACAUCAUAAUUUCGUGCCAAUAUCUUAAGGAAAAUCAGAUAUUUAUAGCCAAAAAGUGUUGCAUCAAAAGAAGCAAUGGUUCAUGAAGAGUUGCAUUGUUUCGAAAUUUCGGAUUCAUAUACGGAGCUAUGUCCGUCCGUACAUGAUGAGAUGCAGCCGCAUGUCACGUGGGUAUCUCCGGCUGCAGAUGGCCAAGUGCGCUCGCAAGUCCCAUUUUCGUUACUCAAAUAGUGAACUGAAGGAUCGUGUCCUAAUUAACACUUAAUUCAAGUGAAUUUUGUCAGAAAGACAGUCUCUCAAUCAUUUUCCGAAGCAGAGCCAUGACAAUGACGGCGCUAGGCGUGUCUUAUUAUUAUCCAACUAACAACAUAGAGUAAUGCUCCUACACUUAAGCACAAGGAUGUUCCUUUCUCCGACUAAUGUGGGAGAAACACUCCUUUUAUAAUGAGAACACAUUUCACUUUCCCUAGUAUAGUUACUCCAUAUUCCCACAUCGUCAAGUGAAUAAGACUAAAGACAAGCAAGCAGAUGCUAUAAAAAAGGGGCCAAGGACUCAUUCAUCUUUUGCGAGUAACAGUACUGUUGUAACUGCAGAAUGAACGUGUGUGAAGAAGAAUGAGGAACAGGAGGUCGACCUCUUGAUCAUCAUACUUCUCCGCACGUGUUCAAUCUGCAAUUACAGUAACAUUGUUGGUACUCUCAAUGGAUGAAUGUGUUGAUUCUAUAGGCCUGGCGGCCACUUCGGAGUGGUGCUGGCGUAAGAAUUCUCCGCACAUGUUCAAUCUGCAGUUACAGUAACAUUGUUGGUACUCUCAAUGGAUGAAUGUGUUGAUUCUAUAGGCCUGGCGGCAACUUCGGAGUGGUGCUGGCGUAAGAAAUCAAGAAGGAAACAGUUUGCUCUUAUGAACUUCUUCACAAGUGAAAACCGUUUUCUCUCAUGAUUUCUUUUUUAACAAAAAAAAAAACUACUCUCCAAAAUUAGCUGACAAAAAUCCAACACAAAAAGCUCCUAAUGCAAACUCGGAAAGCUAAUCGUUUUGUUUCUUUAUAUUACCUUGUAGCAACAUUGAUUGGCACGACCAUACUUGUACAAGGUCCGCACCACUGUAUCAUUGAGUUCUAAGGCGACCAGAAACCAAGUCUGGUGGAUGAACCGUGAACAUGGGACCAGAGCCGGAUUAAGAGCCUCCAUUGCCUUUCAGGGGUCAUGGAGCCAUAGAGGAUCAUUCUCGACUACCCUUCAUUUCUUUUGCUCAUAUCACCUGACUAUAACUAUGCGAACAGGCAUAUAACAUUUUUCACCCAGUCAGCAGCUCAUAAACGUUGGAGUAAUCAUGGAACAGGUUACAUUAUUUUACGGAAGUUUGGAUCUGAGCUUUCCAAUUGACAAUGAUAUGAAGGUCAAAGGACUAAUAGUCCAACAUCGUCAAGUGAAGAAGAUAGAAUAGUAGUAGGGAGAUACUAUAUAAAUGGGCCCAGGACAACGUAGCCACAUACUUACCUGGACGGGGUCAAUGGGCGAUCAACAAGGCCCAUGGCCUAUGCUGGUGACCUCCACUGCACUUUGGAGGGGUGCCAGCCUAAGGUCGGCCCAAGUGGCCUAGCCUACGUCAUAAUUUGUGGCAGCGGGGGCCUGCGUUCGCGCGGCCCCUACCCAAUCCCAAGUCCAAUUAUGUUUUAUUGUCUCAUUUAUGAUUUUAUGAACUGCUUGAACAAAUAUUCUUUAUAGUUUGCGUCAAAAGAAAGGAAAGAAGAAUAAACUACAUUAUCUUAUAUUCGAGCAGGUAGACGGGUUUCUCUUCUGCAACAUUCUUGUCGUCUUUUAUAUACUAUUCAUAAACUUGGCGCCUUUUCAUAUGCUAUUUCUCUAGCGUUGUUAAUGUUGUUUCACUAAAUGAAGCUAAGAAACAGGACCAGUGAACAACUAUUCAUUAUUUUUGUUACUCAUUAUGGAAUUUCUUCAGCAACUAACGUUUAAAAAAGGGAAUGUUCAUUCAAAUAAACAAUAAGAUAGUUGUUGCUGCCUUAUUUUUAAAAUUUUUCUGGUACUGUCAUGUUGUUAUCUGAAUAACGUAUGAAGUUGAUGAAGAGUACUCUGCUCGCCUUAUGAGACUAUGCAUAUGUAGAACACCUCUUUGAUUUAAGGCGACCAGAAACGAAGUCUGGUGGAUGAGCCGUGACCAUGGGAUAAGAGCCUGAUUAAUAGACUCCAUGGCCGUCAUGGAGCCAUAGAGGAUCAUUCCGACUACCCUUCAUUUCUUUCGCUAUUAGAGAAUUAGAAAGAUUCAUAAUGAAGACGCUACUUUGGAUAUGAGCUUUUCGAUUGACAAUGAUAUGAAGGUCAAAAGACUAGUUGUCCCACAUCGUCAAAUGAAUAAGUUAGAAUAUUAAUGGGCCAAGGACCACCAAGAAACAUACUUACCUGGACGGGGUCAAUGGGCGAUCAUGAAGGCCCAUGGCCUAGGUUGGUGACCUCCAUUGCACUUUCGUGGGCUGCCUGCCUAAGGUCGAUCCAAGUGGUCGAGCCUACGUCAUAAUUUGUGGCAGUGGGGGCCUGCGUUUGCGCUGCCCCUACCCAAUUCAAAGUCUAAAUCUCUUAUUCGAUCCAUGGAUUGUGAACUUGAUGUUUCUCUAGUUAACCUAAAUGUUUUUCUUGAAAGAAAGAUAAGCUCUUGGUACAUUUGUAAUUCAGAAUCUGGUUUACUUGAUAUGAUUAUGGAAUCAUUGAACAUGUAGCCUCCAAAAAUAGGUGUAUGCCACUAUUUGCACCGCGCACACAGUAUUCUUUAAUAAAAGGCGAAAGAGUAGUUCACUCGAUCUGUGGUCACUGCGUGGGCGUGGCUGCAUGGAAGUUGUAACUGAUUUUCAAGGAGGCUUUGUAUAUAGUUUCAAGGGCCAAGGACAUCUAUGAGACAUACUUACCUUGACGGGGUCAAUGGCCCAUGGCCUAGGUUAGCGACCUCAUUGCACUUUGGAGGGUUGCCUGCCUAAGUUCGAUCCAAGUGGUCGAGCCUACGUCAUAAUUUGUGGCAGCGGGGGCCUGCGUUUGCACGGCCCCUACCUAACACAAAGUCCAAUUGUUUUCUAAUAUCUCAUUUAUAGGUGUAUGAAUUGCUCUAACACCCACAUUCUUAUGAAUUUUUCAAAUAGAAACUUUUAACUAUGAGAGAUUUAAGGGAAUGUGGUCUUUUUAUUCUCAACAUGGUCAUAUGUAUCCACAUUUAUUACAUAAUUCAACAGACUGUUCAUCUAAUAAUGUUUGAAUUUAGACUGUUAGAUUGAACAUGUGCAAUGAUUUACUUGAUAGACUGAGGUAGCGGUCCUUGUUAGAUUGAACAUAUGUAAUGAUUUUGAUAGACUGAGGUGGCGGUCGUUGUAACAGUUAGUGUACACUCAGAACCAUACGCCUUUUUCAGCGCGUCCAAUCAAAACAUUGCUUCCAACUUUGACCAUGUAUAUACAACAAUAACAUACUCCCACUAAUCUCACAAGGUGUGCAAAGGGUAGUGUGUAUGUAGCCUUACCCCUAUUUUGAGGAGGUAGAGAGGCUGUUUUCAAUAGACCAUCAGCUCAAGUGAAGUAUAUCGAAUCAGAUAUGGUCAUCAUCAGAACAUGUUGACAUAUUAACUAUCACAUUGAAGGGAGGUUAAAAAUUAAUGUGAUACUAAUUGAGGCAUUUAACGCGCUACUAUCUCCAUUUACACAUUUUGCAGACUGAUUCCGUUAAGCAAUUAAUGCAUGAUCAUCCAUAUAAAAAUUCACUGCAGAGAUAUCAUUGUAUCCUCUGUAGUUUGGCUGUUAGACUUCGCCCCUAGUUUUGAUUGUUGGAAUGUCGGGAAAGGAAGAUGCCUCAGCUGGCGGAGCUGAUGGCUCUCAGGAGCCAUGCCAACUUGCAAAUAGUGGGAGAAUGUACUGNNNNNNNNNNNNNNNNNNNNNNNNNNNNNNNNNNNNNNNNNNNNNNNNNNNNNNNNNNNNNNNNNNNNNNNNNNNNNNNNNNNNNNNNNNNNNNNNNNNNNNNNNNNNNNNNNNNNNNNNNNNNNNNNNNNNNNNNNNNNNNNNNNNNNNNNNNNNNNNNNNNNNNNNNNNNNNNNNNNNNNNNNNNNNNNNNNNNNNNNNNNNNNNNNNNNNNNNNNNNNNNNNNNNNNNNNNNNNNNNNNNNNNNNNGAUAAGGAUAUACUAAAGCAAAAUGGGAUUACUCAUGUUCUUAACUGUGUGGGGUUUGUUUGCCCCGAGUAUUUCCAGUCUGAUUUUGUAUACCAGACUUUAUGGUUACAUGGUAGCCCGUCAGAAGAUAUUACGAGCAUUCUUUAUGAUGUUUUUGGCUACUUUGAAGAUGUCAGGGAGAAACAUGGAAGGGGUUUUGUGCAUUGCUAACAAGGGGUCUCUUGGUCAUCCUCGUUGGUUAUCGGUUAUCUUUUGUGGAGAGAAGGACAAAGUUUUGAUGUUGCAUUUGAGUACGUAAAGGCAGCAAGGUGCAUCGCGGAUCCAGAUAUUGGUUUUGCUUGUCAGUUGUUACAAUGCCAAAAAAGGGUUCAUGCUUUCCCUUUGAGUCCCAGUUCAUUAUUAAGGAUGUAUAGAGUUGCGACUCAUUCACCAUACGAUCCUUUGCAUCUCAUUCCGAAAAUGGUAAAUGAUCCUUCUCCGUCAGCAUUAGAUUCCAGAGGUGCAUUUAUUAUAUAUAUACCCUCAUCAAUAUAUGUUUGGAUUGGUAAAAAGAGUGAAGCAAUCAUGGAAAGAGAUGCCAGAGGGGCUGUUUGCCAGAUUGUUCGUUAUGAGAAAGUGCAGGCACCAAUCAUAACAGUUAUGGAAGGUGAGUGUAACACCCCGCAUUUCGGACGAGAACGAAAAUCAUCAUUUCCUUCACGUAAAGGUUCCAAAAGCCAUAAAUCCAAUGCAAGUUUGGUGUUUUAAUAAGUUAUGUAGUGUGGAAACCUAUUUGAGCAUGAAUUGAGAUCAUAGAGGUCCCCAUGCUCAAGGACAAGUUGAAAGUUUUCCUAUCAUUCGAAUUUUAGUGAGCGUUGAAACUUAGGUCAACUUCAAUCGACCAUUACUCUUUUUAUAUAUUGAAUUAGAGUGCCUACUAUAUAUCAAAUGAAAAGUAUUCGAAUUAUCUUUUCAACGAUACCAAUUUCGCAAAAAUCUGACACCCGAGGAAGAAGUUAUGGCUUUGCAAAGUGGAGUGUGUCGUGCAGCAUAAGGUGUGCGAUGCACACCCUAACUUAUGCCAUAUGGUGUGCGACGCACAACCUAAUGUGUGCGAUAAAGAGUGCGCUGCACAACCUAUAUUAUGCCAUAAGGUGUGUGCCGCAUACAUUAUUACUCAAGUGACUUAAACACUUCAUUUUUGGACCAAAAUGGUCAAUUUCCCACCCUUAUUUAGCCAUAAACACGAAAUUCAGUNNNNNNNNNNNNNNNNNNNNNNNNNNNNNNNNNNNNNNNNNNNNNNNNNNNNNNNNNNNNNNNNNNNNNNNNNNNNNNNNNNNNNNNNNNNNNNNNNNNNNNNNNNNNNNNNNNNNNNNNNNNNNNNNNNNNNNNNNNNNNNNNNNNNNNNNNNNNNNNNNNNNNNNNNNNNNNNNNNNNNNNNNNNNNNNNNNNNNNNNNNGUUAACUUGAGAGCAUGAAUUAUAUGAAAAUUCCUCUCUUGAUAUGAUUUUGUAUUAAUCCUCAUAUGAUGUGAAUUGUUUGAAAUCAUCUUGACAAGCAUGACAUGAAAUAUUUUGAAAAUGGUUAUGAUUUUUGACUUGAAAUGAGAGGGUUGUUAUGUUAAAAUAUGAUGAAUAUAAUGGUUGCAUGAAAGAAUGAUAUGAUAUUGAUGGCUUGCAAGUCGGGUAUGACGAUACCUACAUAAUAUGAUAUGUGAUGGAAUUAAAUGAAGUUGAAUGCAUUGAUUUUUCAUGAGAUAGGUGGAUGCCCGAAGAAGGCGUUUGAGUGUAAGGGCUCAUCACUGGGAACCGUGUUUGCCGACAUGGAAAUUUGGUACCAGGCUAAGUGUUCCUGUGUACUUGACUUUAUGUCAUUCCCAAAUUGGGACUAUGGUUAGGAGCCCAGGCUAAGUGAUCUUGGGCACUACUAUACUUUAUUGGGUUGAGAUACCCUGCUGUAUGAUCUUGUAUGUCUUCCCCUUACUUAUAGUCUAAUCUCGGUGGCAACCGAGGUUUGACAGUUAGUGUAAAUGUUAUAUGUAGGGUAUUCCACCUAGCUCAGCUACAUUACAUUUUUGUUGAAAACAAUUACAUUUUGCCCAUGUGUUUUCAAGUGAUUUGAUAUGAAACUGCUUUAUAAUGGCUCUCACCUAUAUUUUGUAAAAAUAUUAUGUUUUUGUUUUGAUUUCUCUGCAAACCAGUACUUUUGUAUUGAUGCCUUUCCCUCCCAGGUUUGGAGGCACAGUCUAGGGGUCCAGAAAAUUAGUAGAUUUCUCAGACAGAUUUGCAGAGUCCCUUGGUGAGCCUUCUAUAUUCCAGAAGGCCUAAUAUCUGGUAGUUUCAUUGAUCAUUUAUUAGUUUUGGGUCUACUGGGGGCCUUGUCCCAGUUUUCAGAUAGUUACUUGUUUCAGUUAUGUAGUAGAGAUUUUGCAGACGAUUUUUGAGAUGUUGAUUGAGAUAGUUACUUUCCAUGGCCUUAUCAAGACUCUCAGGUUCUCCUCUGUCAGUCAAGAGUACAUACUCACUGGGAGAAUAACGAGAUAAAGGUAUUCUUUCUCUUGUAGAUCGUCUAAGAGAACUCUCUGGAGCAUAAAAAAUUGGUUGCUGAUCAACCAUAUUAACUUGCACUGGAGCAUCAACAACUUCUUGCUGGUCAUUCUGAACAUGAUCAUCAUCUUCAUUAUCAACUUGUUGAAGAUUUUCUUCAGGAGCAGUAGUCAAAGGAACUGGAUCAACAUCAACUAGGCUCUCACUACUCUAACAAUCAACCUUCUCAGCUUUGUCAAAAUCUUCAAUUGUUUGGUCUUCAAAGAACACAACAUCGCGGCUUCUAACAAGUUUCUUCUCAACUAAAUCAUAGAAGCGAUAGCCAAGUUCAUCUUGACCAUAACCAAUGAAGAUACACUGUCUAGUUUUAACAUCUAACUUCUCACUCAUAUGACUCAACCUUCUAUGCCACAACUCUGAUGAAGUAUCAUUCUCCACCAAGUUUAUCAAGCCUCUAGAAGUAGAUCCCUGAAAUAUGUACAAGUUAGACAACUUGUCACCUCGAGCCACAAUCAUCGAACCUCGAGUAAGCUUCCACUGACCAGCACCAAGGGUAUUAACAUAACUCUCAUUAUCAGUACUUCCUACAGAAAUCAAAUUCAAGCGAACAUCUAGAGCAUGCUUGACAUUAUUGAGAACUAGUUUGGAACUAUUGUUACUUUUCAAACAAAUCAUGCCAAUGCCAAGUACUUUAACUUCAUCAUUAUUGUCUAUUUUCAACAUCCCAAAAUUAUCUGGACUAUAAGAAGAAAAUAAUUCCUUCUUUGGCAUAACAUGAGAAGUAACACCAAAAUCCACAAACCAGCUAAACUCAUCACGAACAAGAUUAAUGGCAUUGUCACGACAAACAAUAAGAAGAUCAUCAUUAGCAACAACAGCAACAUGAUUUUCAUUAUCGCCUUCUUUCUUUUGCCGUCUUAUAUUUCUCUUAUGCUUGUAAUAAUAUUUCAUGAUAUGCCCCUUUUUGUUGCGAUAGUCACAUGUAACAUUCUUGAAUUUGGACCUUGACUUGCUUCUACUUUUAUCUCUAUCAUUUGAAUCUCUAGACUUAUUUCUCCCCCUCUCUUCAGUAACCAAAACAUCAGAGUGUGAAGAUGAAGAAGAUGAGGCCUGAGAUCUUUUUUUUAUCUCUUCAUUCAAGAUACCACUCUUAACAUAUUCCAUAGUUACAAUACCACUGGAAGCAAAAUUAGUCAAAGAAACUCGAAGAGUUUCCCAAGAGUCAGGCAGAGUAUUAAGAAGCCAAUGUCCCUGAAUUUCUUCAUCAAACUUUACACCCAUUUCGGACAGCUGGUCAAGGACACCCUGAAAAUCAUUUAUAUGAUUAGAAAUAGGAUCUCCUUCUUUAUACCUGAUAUUCAUCAAUUGCUUAAGUAGGAACAACUUGUUAUUGUUAGUUUUCGAAGCAUAAAGUGUCUCGAUCUUAUCCCACAAACUUAUAGCAUGUGUCUCAUUCACAAUAUGAUUUCUAACAUUAUCUUCAACCCAUUAUCUGAUAUAGCCACAAACCUGUAAGUGCUCAAAUUCCCAAUCCUCAUCUAUCAUGGAUUCAGGUUUAGUAAAUACAAACAUAGGUAGAUGCAUUUUCUUGACAAGUAGAAUAUUUUUCAUCUUGCCUUUCCAAGUAUGAUAGUUACUACCAUUCAAACACACCUAUCACGAUCUGAGUUGGGGCCCUAGCCGUGACGAGCAUCCCGAACCAUGAAGGCCCGGAACACCCUUCUCUAUCUAUCUGGUAAUCAUGCAUAUAAUUCAUAUGAUAAAAGGUAAUGAGGAAAGAUAAAUCUAAUACAGAAACAUGGUCAAUCUGAAUGUGAUCACAAUUCUGAAAACUGAAAUCGAAAAUAUAUCUGAAUAAUAAUGUCUGACUCAGUCUACGAAAUCUCUAUCAUGAACUAAUCAAAGUUGUCUGAAAGUUGGGCCAAGGCCCCCAGUAGACCAAAACCUAACUAAUAAUAGUAAUAUGAAAUAACCAGGCCUUCUGAAUCAUAGAAGGCUCACUACUGCAAACUCCGAUCUGUGAUCUGAAAUCUCUACUAUUUAUCUUGACCCCUAGACUGUGCCUCAGAACCUGGAAGGAGAAGGGGGGGUCAGCACAAUUGUACUGGCAUGUGAAGCAAUCCAAAAUAGAGUAACUGAACAUAUAUAUAAUAUGGAGAGCAAUUUUCAUCAAAACGUCAUGCAUAAAACAGUUUCUGAAAAACACAUGGGCACUUUCUGUAAACAUGUAACCUGUCUGUAAAUUUCAAAUUCUGAUCUGUGUAUUACUUUUGAGUUAGGUGGUAUCCCGUACAAGUCAGAUAUUCUACAGGCGAUAUGGAAUCCUCCAUUAACUCGGCGGGGAAACCUCCAACUCGAGUGUGUCGCAAGGGUUGGAGUUCCUGAAUAUGAUACGCCACACAACACUUAAAUCUGCGUAUAAUAAUUUACUCGAGUUGGCAAACCACGAUUUUAGGCAAAAAUUUGUCUAAACUCACGCCUUCUUCGGGAACCACCUAAUCUCUCUUUAUGCCUUAUUUUAGCCUUUUCUGAACAUGCAUCAUUCUGAAGUUCUAAAACAUGCAAAUAUGAUAAAGUCUGAUUUCUGUAUUCGUCUGUGUCUGUUAUGGAAUUUUCUGAGUUUGGUAUCGUCAUACCAAGAUUUGCAAGUCAUGAUUUUUGAGCCAUAAUACAUUAAGAUAAAUCUUUCAAUUCAAGCAAAGCUUAGACCACCCAAAAACAUACAACUCAUAUACAAGAUUUCGUGUUCCGAAACUCAAGUCAAAAUCAUGCAAAAACUUCAUCAACAUAUGGUGGUCUAGUACCUUUAGCAAAUCUAUGCACUCUUUUAUUACAUGCAUUAUGAACAUUAAACAUUCAUGCUAGAUUCCCACUUUAGUGAUUUAAAAUCACCUUUAAAUCAUAACAAGAGUUCAAUCAUUUCAUAUAGUGCUUUUCAAGGAUGCAUUGCAAAACAAUUCAUAUGCUAUGAGAAAUCUGAAAAAUUCAGAAUAAGAGGGAAUUCACCAAAAAUCAUGCUCUCAACAAGAAUUCAUUCUUAAAUACAUUGUUUCAUACAUUCAUAUUCUCAAAUCACUUUAGGGAAGGUCAAAAGACCAAAACAAUGAUGUUAAAACAUUUAAUACAUAAAUAUAUAUAUAGAUUGAAUAACCCCAUUCUAAAACAUGAUUUUUCUAUGCCCAUGAGAAUUUAGGAAAACCCCGCGUACCUCUAUUCUGGAAAAUAAUGGGUGCUUCUUGAAGCCUGUGGAUUGGAGAUUCUGAAUCUCUAAUCGAUUUUGAAAACUGACGGUUCAAUCUUGAUUUAUUUGGGUUUUUAGUUUGAAAUCCUUGGGAGUGUUCUUGAGAAUUUUUAGAUGAAUGUGGAUGUAUUUUGGAGAAUUGGGGACUGAAUUUUAUGUUUAUGGAUGAAUAAGGGUGGGAAAAGGACCAUUUUCCCCAAAAACGAAGUGUUUAAGUCACUUGAAACCAUUACAUAGGUGCCGCAUAUGAUAUCGCCUAUGUUUACAUAGGCGCUGCCUAUGCUAUUGCCUAUGUUUACAUAGGCGUCGCCUAUGCUAUUGCCUAUGUUUGCAUAGGCUCCGCCUAUGCUAUCGUCUAUGUUUACAUAGGCGCCGCCUAUGCUAUCGCAUAUGCUUUCCAGUAGCCAUGUACAAUUGGUUAGGCGAGGCAUACUACUUUGAAAGGCCAUAACUUCUUGCUCAGGUGCCGAAUUUUAGCAAAAUUGGAAUCGUUGGAAAGCUAACUCGAAAACCUAUCAUUUUACACAUAGUAGGCUCUCUAAUUCGAUAUAUACAAAGAGUCAUGGUUGAUAGAAGUUGACACAAAUUAUAAUAUCCACUUAAACUUAAUCGAUCAAAGUAGUUUUCAACUCGUCCUUGAGUCAAAGGACCACUAUGGUCUAAAUUAAAGCUUGAAUGGAUUCACAUACUACACAAAUAAUUAACAUACCAUAUUGGCAUAGGAUUUAUGGAUUCAAGAUUAUCAACGCAUCGGAAUCAUGGUCUAUAUUGUAGCCCAAAAUGUGGGGCGUUACAUUAUCCCCCCUUAGGAUCAUUCGUCCCCGAAUGAUGAUGCGGGACACAGACAGACACGAUUUCAAGCAUAAUAAGGACUAGGAAAGAUAAGAUAGGAACAGUACCUUCUGUCUCAUCAUCCAUCGAAGCAAAAAAAUAGAGAUAUCUAAUUCUCAUGUCAUCUUCUGACUCCCAAGUUGCUUCUUCAACUUUUGGAUUCCUCUACAAUACCUUCACUGAGGCUAUCUCUUUGCUCCUCAACUUUCAAACUUGGCGAUCUUCAAUGGGCUCUUCUUCGUAAGAUAAUGAAUCUGUCACUUUGAUAUCCUCUAUUGUCAAUGCCAAAGAAUGAUCUCCAAUGCAUUUCUUCAACAUGGAUACAUGGAAUACCAGAUGAACGGAACCCAAACUUGCAGGCAAUUCUAGCUCAUAAGCAACUGCACCAAUCUUUCUCAGAAUCUGAUAUGACCCUAUAUAGCGAGGGCUCAAUUUACCCCUUUUUCCAAACCGCAUAAUUCCUUUCAUAGGAGAAACCUUGAGAAACACCCAAUCACCAACUUCAAACUCUAAUUCUCUUCUUCAAACAUCGGCAUAGGACUUCUGAUGACUCUGAGCAGUCUUGAGUCAUUCUUUAAUGAUCUUCACUUUCUCCAUCGCCUGAUGAACAAGAUCAGGCACAUACAACUGAGUCUCACCCACUUGAUACCAUCCUAUCGGAGAUCUACAUCUUCUCCCAUACAAAGCCUCAAAAGGAGCCAUCUUGAUGCUGGCAUGGUAACUAUUAUUGUAAGAAAAUUCAAUAAGUGGUAGGUGAUCUAUCCAAAUACAUUUGAAAUCAAUGACACAUGCCCUCAACAUAUCCUCAAGGGUAUGAAUGGUAUGCUCAGCUUGCCCAUCCAUCUGAGGGUGGAAAGUUGUGCUCAAUUCACUUGUGUACCUAAACCCUUCUGAAAAGAUCUCCAGAACUGAGAUGAAAACUGCAUACCUCUAUUGAAUAUAAUGGACAUUGGUGCCCCAUGCAACCGAACGAUCUCCUCAAUGUAAAUCUUAGCAUAACCCUCUCCCAAAUAAUUAUUCCUCAUAGGCAAAAAGUGGGCUGACUUUGUCAACCGAUCAACAAUUGCCUAUAUAGAAUCAUACUGGUUUAGGGAUCUCGGAAGUCCAUAAUGAAGUCCAUGUUUAUCAUCUCCCAUUUCUAUAAAGGCAGGGCUAUCUCUUGGGAAGUACCACCUGGCCUCAUAUGUUCUACCUUCACUUGAUGAAAGUUCAAACACUUGGACACGAAAUCAACUACAUCACGUUUCAUGUUAUUCCACCAAUACAAGGUUUUCAGAUCAUGGUACAUCUUAGUAGAGCCUGGGUGAAUGACAUACCUCGAAGUGUGUGCCUCAUCAAGGAUUCUUUCCCAGAGUCCAUUAAUAUUCGAAAUGCAUAAUCUACCCUAAAAUCUCAGAAUACCAUCACCACCAAUUUCAAACGACUUAACCUUUUGUUGACCCACAUCUUUCUUGAUUUGUAUCAAGAUGGGAUCUUCAAACUGCUUCUCCUUAACUUCAGCACAAAGUGAUGACUUAGCUAACUCAUGAACAAUUACCCCUCCAUCUUUGAAAUCUAAGAGUCGCACUCCCAGAUUUUCAAGGUGGUGAAUAUCCUUGACCAUCUCUUUCUUUUCUUCUUCUACAUGAGAAAGGCUGCCCAUAGACAACCUGCUGAGGGCGUCAGCUACAAUAUUUGCCUUGCCCAGAUGGUAAUGCAGGCUCAUAUCAUAGUCUUUCAGAAGCUCCAUCCAGCGCCUCUGCCAGAGGUUUAAUUCUUUCUGCGAGAAAACAUACUGCAGACACUUGUGGUCAGUGAAGAUAUCAAUGUGAACACCGUAAGAGCAGUGCCACGAAAUCUUAAGUGCAAACACCACAACCGCUAACUCCAAAUCAUGGGUAGGGUAGUUCUGCUCGUGCACCUUCAACUACCUAGAUGCAUAAGCCACUACCUUACCAUGCUGCAUCAACACACUACCAAGUCCUACACGGGACGCAUCACAGUAUACCACAAAGCCAUCUACACCCUCGGGAAGGGUCAAAAAGAGGUUUAAUUCUUUCUGCGAGAAAACAUACUGCAGACACUUGUGGUCAGUGAAGAUAUCAAUGUGAACACCGUAAGAGCAGUGCCACGAAAUCUUAAGUGCAAACACCACAACCGCUAACUCCAAAUCAUGGGUAGGGUAGUUCUGCUCGUGCACCUUCAACUACCUAGAUGCAUAAGCCACUACCUUACCAUGCUGCAUCAACACACUACCAAGUCCUACACGGGACGCAUCACAGUAUACCACAAAGCCAUCUACACCCUCGGGAAGGGUCAAAACAGUAGCAGUGAUCAGUUUGUCUUUCAACUUCUCAAAACUAUUCUCACACAGAUCAGACCACACAAACUUCACCUUUUUCUGAGUCAAUUUAGUAAGUGGAGCAGCUAUGGAAGAAAAACUUUCUACGAACCUUCUGUAAUACCCCGCCAAAUCUAAGAAGCUCUGAAUAUCGGUUGGAGUCGUGGGUCUAGGCCAUUUUCUCACUUCUUCAACUUUUUGGGGAUCCACUCUUAUCCCAUCACUGGACACAAUAUGCCCCAAGAAGGCUACAAUAUCUAACCAGAAUUCACACUUAGAAAAUUUGGCAUACAAUUGAUGAUCCUUAAGGGUCUGAAGAAUAAUUUGGAGGUGAUUGGCGUGAUCCUCUUUACUCUUAGAAUAGAUCAGGAUAUCAUCAAUAAAUACAAUGAUGAACAAGUCAAGAAAAUAAUGGAAACUCUAUUCAUAAGAUCCAUAAAGGUUGUAGGGGCGUUAGUCAACCCGAAGGACAUGACUAGGAAUUCGUAGUGACCAUAUCGGGUUCGAAACGAUGUCUUGGGUAUGUCUGACUCCCUAACUUUCAACUGAUGAUAACCCGAACGAAGGUCUAUUUUUGAAAAACACUUCGCACCCUGAAGCUGGUCAAAAAGGUCAUCAAUCCUAGGAAGAGAAUAUUUAUUUUUAAUCGUGACCUUAUUCAGCCGACGGUAGCCUAUGCACAUACGAAGGGAACCAUCUUUCUUUCGCACAAAAAGUACUGGCGCGCCCCAAGGAGAUACACUGGGGAAUAUAAAACCCUUAUCUAGGAGAUCUGCUAACUGUUCUUUCAAUUCUUUUAGUUCUGCAGGAGCCAUUCUAUAUGGUGGAAUGGAAAUACGAUGAGUGUCUGGCAACACAUCAAUACCAAAUUCAAUCUCCUUAUCAAGUGAUAUUCCUGGGAGAUCAUUUGGAAUGACUUCUGGGAAUUCUUUUACUACGAGAACAGAUUGAAGAGGAAGACUCUCGACAUUUAAGUCCUUAACUCGAAUAAGGUGGUAUAAGCAACCUUUAGAAAUGAGUUUGCGGGCUCUAAGAUAGGAUAUAAAGUGCCCUCUGGGUGCUAAAGAAUGUCCUUCCCACUCUAUCACCGGUUCAUUCGGGAAAGAAAAAGUGACCCUUCGAGUCCUACAAUCUAAUGUGUCAUAGUACGAAUGGAGUCAAUCCAUUCCUAAGAUAGCAUCAAAAGCAACCAUAUCUAACUCUAUGAGAUCUGCUAAUGUAUCCCGGCUACCAAUAGUCACAACACAACCCCUGUACACCCUCCUAGCAAUAAUAGAAUCCCCCACCGGGGUGGAAACAGAAAAGGGUUCAAAAAUCACACUGGGCUCAAACCCGAAACCAACAGCCACAUAAGGGGUCACAUAGGAUAAAGUAGACCCAGGAUCAAGUAACACAUAAACAUCAUGGGAAAAGAUUUGUAACGUACCGAUAACAAUAUCUGGGGAAGCUUCCUCCUCCCGGCGGUUGGUCAAAGCAUAUAAUCGAUUGCGAAUGUUCCUAACAGCUGAUGUGGCGCCCUUCUAAGGCGGGGGUGGUGCCGAAGAAUUCGCCUGAGACUUUGCACCACCAAUAUUCUUUCUACAGAUGGACAUUCCCUCUGAAAGUGACCCGGCUAACCAUAUAAAUAACACACUAUCGAGCCCAACUGACACCUUCCCGGAUGAUUUCUACUGCAAGUCUCACACCAUAGAAAAGUAUGAUGCUGCUGAGCCACACUACCCUAUAACCGAGUAUCCUGAGCUCUGGUUCCAUGGUUAGUCUGAAAACUCAGAGAUUGUUUGUCUGCUGGUGGUCGGGGUACUGGGGCUCUGGUAGUAGACUGCGCAUUAUCCCAAUUCUUUUUUUUCUGCUAUUUAUUUCCCCACUUACUGCCCUGAGGCUGACUAUGACUCUAGUCGGCUGAUCUGGCUCUUUUCGCUUGUCUUUCCACCUCCCUAGCUUCAGAGAUCUUCUUAUUUUUCUCUUCUACUUGUUGCAUAUGAACGGUCAGCCUAGAAAAGUCUAACUCCUUAUUCAACAUUGCCCCCUGGUACUCAAGCACCAGGUUAUCAGAAAGGCCGGCUGCAAAUUUCCUCAUCCGGGCUCUCAUAUUACUAGUCAACUCUGGUGCAAAGCGGGCUAGUUUAUUAAACUUCAAAGUGUACUCCUGGACACUCAGACUGCCCUGCUUUAGAUUCAUAAAAUCUUCCUCUUUGGCCUCCCUCAACUCCAGCUAAUCGAUCAAGCAAAACUUCCACAAAUUCACCCCAAACUGUGGGCUCAUCAGUCUCACCUUUUGUAUCCUCCCAGCCAGCAUACCACUGAUUCGCAACAUCCUUAAGCUGAUAAGUUGCUAGUUCCACCCCUUAAAUCUCAUCCACAUGCAUUACCUUACAGAUCUUUUCCAUCUCAUCCACGAACUCCUAUAGAUCUUCCUCCACCUUGGUGCCAGUGAACUUAGGUGUGUUUAUUUUCAUGAAAUAUCCGACCCUGGUAGCCUCAGACGUAAUAAAUGUAGACCCAACAUCUUCUGAUCAUUGAUCCUGGUUAGGUACCAAUUGUGUCAGCAUAUGAAUAGACCGUCUGAAUUCUGCAUUUGAAAUAUCUCUUUGAGCAGUUGAGGGACGGUUGUCAUUAGUCCGCGGAGCCCAAGGUGGACUGGUCGGGACUGGAGGGACUCCCGGAGUAGGGACAGGUUCUAGAGUGUGAGCUCUAUUAUGGGUAUGCAUCCCAUGGGUGGGACGGACCUCAUCUGCCUGAGCAUUCUGAUCGAAGAUAUGACGUGGAGGCAUAACUAUGUUUCUGAAAUACAAGAGAUCAUUGAUUAGGGAUCAUUUCAGACUGUGAAGCACGAACUAAAUCAUAAAGAAGGGAAACAUUUCCUAAAUACCUAGUAGCCUCUUGCUUAUAAGUAUGGCACGCUACACAGCCAUAACUAAAACUCUACCCGAUGUGAUUUUGCAGACACCCUGGGACCAUGAACCUUGCUUUGAUACGAAGUUUGUCACAACCCGAGCCGGGGCCCUAGCCGUGAUGAGCAUCCCGAACUAUGAAGGCCCGGAACACCCUUCUCUAUCUAUCUAGUAAUCAUGCACAUAAUUCAUAUAAUAAAAGGUAAUGCGGAAAGAGAAAUCUAAUAGGGAAACAUGGUCAAUCUGAAUGUGACCAUAAUACUAAAAACUGAAAUCCAAAAUAUAUCUGAAUAAUAAUGCCUAAUUCAGUCUGCGAAUCUCUACCAUGAACUAAUCAAAGUUAUCUGAAAGCUGGGAUAAGGCCCCCAGUAGACCAAAACCUAACUAAUAGUAGUAAUAUGAAAUAACCAGGCCUUCUGGAUCAUAGAAAGCUCACCACUGCAAACUCCGGUCUGUGAUCUGAAAUCUCUACUAUUUAUCUUGACCCCUAGACUGUGCCUCAAAACCUGGAAAGAGGGGGGUCAGCACAAUUGUAUUGGCACGCGAAACAAUCCAAAAUAGAGUAAUUGAACAUAUAUAUAUAUAUAUAAUAUGUGAAAGCAAUUUUCAUCAAAACGACAUGCAUAAAAUAGUUUCUGAAAAACACAUGGGCACUUUCUAAAAAUAUGUAACCUGUCUGUAAAUUUCAAAUUCUGAUCUGUGUAUUACUUUUGAGUUAGGUGGUAUCCCAUACAAGUCUGAUAUUCUACAGGCGAUAUGGAAUCCUUCAUUAACUCGACGGGAAACCCUCCAACUCGAGUGUGCCACAAGGGUUGGAGUUCCAGAAUUUGAAACGCCACACAACACUUAAAUCUGUGUAUAAUAAUUUACCCGAGUUGGCAAACCACGGUUUUAGGCAAAAAUUUGUCUGAACUCACGCCUUCUUCGGGGAAUCACCUAAGCUGUCUUUAUGCCCUAUUUUAGCCUUUUCUGAACAUGCAUCAUUCUGAAGUUCUAAAACAUGUAAAUAUGAUAAAGUCUGAUUUCUGUAUUCGUCUGUGUCUGUUAUGGAAUUUUUUGAGUUUGGUAUCAUCAUACCAAGACUUGCAAGUCAUGAUUUCCGAUAAAGAGGUUGUCGGAAAGACCCUCGGCUUUAGUAUCAUACAUCAAAGCAGUUCAGCAACAAUGACAGCCAGUAGUAUAAACUAGGCACAAAUUGCUUCUUUUGGACAUUGAGGAUGUUACUUAACUCUUUUUAUAGACUAGCAUAGCCCCACAUCGUCAAGUGAAUAAGACAGAAGAGUACUUGUAGCAGCAUUGAUUGCCAUUAUCUUGUACAAGAUAUGUUUAUGAGUAUUAAGGAAAAUAGAAAUCAAGUCUGGUGUAUGAACCACGACCAUGGGAUAAAAGCCUAAUUAACAGCCUCCACGGCGUUUCAGGGGUCAUGGAGCCAUAGAGGAUCAUUCUCUACUACCCUUCAUUUCUUUCGCUCAUAUCACCGGACUAUAACUAAGCGAACAAGCAUACAACAUUUUUCACUCAAACAGUAGCUCAUAAGGCAUCAAUAUGAGUUUCUAUUCAACAAAACUGCAACAUUCUUGUCUGUCUUCAUUUCUUCUCCGGGAUGUGGUGCUGCAGCUAGAUACUACUGUGCAAUACUAAUAGUCCAACAUUGUCAAGUGAAGAAGAUAGAAUAGUAGUAAGGAGAUACUAUAUAAAUGGGCCAAGUACAUUUAUGAAACAUACUUAUCUGGAUGGGGUCAAUAGGCUGGUGACCGCCAUUGCACAUUCCGGAGGGGUGCCUGCCUAAGGUCAGCCCAAGUGGUCGAGCCUACGUCAUAAUUUGUGACAGUGAGGCCUGUGUUAAAUGCCGCCUCUACCCAAUUCAAAGUAUAAUUUCUUCAUCUCAUUGGUUGCUUAGCACACGGUCUCAAUUGUAUAUGCAAUUGCAAUGUUAAACACAAAUCAUCUCUUUCAAUUAUUCUAACUUGAAAUUUAAUAUAAAUACAAAUCUGAAUUAGUUGUCCAUUUUUUUUAGCAGAAACUGAAUACAUUUUUUUCCCCGCCUCGUAUCCCACAUCGAUAAGCUAGCAACACAACCAAGUGUAUAUAUGUUGUUGCAGCAACAUGAGCAGAAACGACCUUACUUGAACAGGAUCUGUUCUAUAGGCUCAUACCACUGUCUCCUUGAGUUCUAAGGAGACCAGAAACCAAGUUUUGUGGAUGAAUCGUGGCUAUGAGACUAGAGUGUGAUUACCAGCCUCCAUGGCCUUUGGCCGGGUCAUGGUGUUGUAGAUGAUCGUUCUCUACCUGGUCCACUGGGCUUGAGAUGUCUUGUGGCUAUCUGACAGACUUACCAACUCUUUUUGCUGGAGCUCUACUCUCAGAAUCGUUAUCAGCCUGGCCCGCUGGCCGGGGAGACUAGAGCGUGAUUAACAGCCUCCAUUGCCUUCGGGUCAUAGUACUGUAGAUGAUCGUUAUCAGCCUGGUCUGCUGGGCUAGAGAUGAUCUCAUGGUUGUCUGACAGACUUACCAACUCUUUUUCCCAGUACUAUCAUGUUGUUAUCUGAAUAUUAUUGGCUUAUCUUGCAAUGCAUAACGUAUGCAGCUGAUGAAGAGAAAUCUGCUCACCUCUUAUGAAACGAUGCAUAUGUAGAACACCUUUUUGGUUUUAGUAAUUACUGGAAGUUUUAUUUUCUUUCUAUAGUCGAGAUAGUUGCACGUAAUGACCGUUCCCAACCAUACUACUAAAAGCUUGUGGAAAGAAUCUGAUUUACAACAACUUGGAAAUUACUGUGUAUUCCUUCAAGGAGGCUUGUCUGAAAGUACAACAUUGACAUUUGUUUAGAUAUAGGUAACUUUUAGUCCAUAUUUACAAGACAUGGUUAAAGUUUGCAUAGUUACAAAAUAUAAAUAUACCUUAAAUUCAUCUCUUUCUCUCACUCUUUCUCGCCUCUCUCCUCCUUCUCUCUCCCCUCCUCCAUUCCCGUUCCUCUAUUGGUCCCCCUUCUUUCUCAUUCUUUUAUUUUUUAUAAUUUCUAGAAUUGUAUAUUUGUAUAUAAACAAUGCAAAAUGUAGAUGUACACACUCAAUAUAAAUUCUGCAAACUGUAUAUAUACAGAUAUAUUGUUAUUUAAUAUACACUAUAAUAAUAUACAAACAUUCAGAUAUACAAUUGGAAAAAAAAAUGUACAUAUACAAUUAACAACUUAUGCAUAUAUGACUUAUAUAAUUGACAUAUAUGACUUAUAUAAUUGACAUAUAUGACUUAUACAUAUACCACUUAUUCAAUUGACUUGUACAUAUACGACUUAUACAAUUACAUCAUAUAUACAAUUAAUAUACAAUUUAUACAUAUGCACAUAUAUAUACAUAUACAAUUAACAACUUAUAUAUAUGACUUCUAUAAUUGACAUAUAUGACUUAUACAAUUGAGUUACACGUAUACUACUUAUACAAUUACAUCAUAUACACAAUUAGUAUACAACUUAUACAUAUACGCAUAUUUAAUUGACACAUAAUAUAUAAUUGAUAACAAUUUAGUUGAAUUGAGAAAAUAAUGAUUGAACUAAGUUAUCUCAAUCUAAAUUUAUGAUAGAAAGGAUUGCAAAAUAUAAAAAAAAAUAAAAAAUUAAAUCUAAUAUCAAAAAUACUGAAAGAUUACCUCAAAUCUUCAAUAAAUAUUCUAAACAAAUUUUAUGUGGUGACAAAUCCGCAAAAAAAAGGUUCUCCAAAGUAAAAUCAAGAAUGAUAUCUUGUGAUAUUAAAGUGAUUUUGAGAGAAAAAUAAGGAGAAAAAAGUUGAAGAAGGUCUCUUGAAGAACACUAUUAUGAUGUUGCCAAUGUUGUUGUUUCUUCAAUGUAAAAACAAGGAUAUUAGAGUGAUUUUGAGAGAAAAGUAAGAAAAAAAAAGUUCAAGAAGAUAUCUUCAAUAAUCGUGCAUUUUGAUGUUCCCAUUGUUGCCUUUUUUUAGCCAAUAGAACAAAAAAAAAAAAGAUUUUAAACUACCAAAUAACUAUGAAUUGUAAUUUUUUAAAACAUUAGCCAUACCAUGUAAUUAAUAUAGUAUUUUGUCUAUAAUAUAUAAUUUUUUCCUUUUAUAUUAAUAUUGGGCUUUGUUUUAAUUUGUUACUAAUAAACAAAUAUUAUAAUUAAAGACCCAAGAAUAUAUAUCUAUUUUUUGAAUAUAAAAAAAUAAUAAAAAUAAUUAGAAAGUAGAUUAUAAGUAAUAUUGUUUUACGAAUAAAAAAUUAAAAUCAUAUAUAUAUUAUGUCGGUUCGGUUUGGGUUCGGUUUGAUUUUAUUUUUGCUAAUACCAAACCAAACCAAGAAUGAUCGGAUUUUUUUUUGCCAACACCAAAUCAAUCAAACCAAACCAUAAGUCGGUUUUUUUCCUCGGUUUGGUUUGAUUCAUCGGUUCGGUUUGACUUAACGGUUCGGUCUGUACACCCUAUAUGAACCUAUGUCCGCCCGUACAUGAUGAGAUGCGGCCGCAUGUCACGUGGGUAUCUCCGGUCGCAGAUGGCCAAGUGCCCCCGCAAGUCCCAUUUUCGUUACUCAAAUAGUGAACUGAAGGAUUAUUUCCUAAUUAGCACUUAAGUUUCAAGUGAAUUUUGUCAAAAAAUAGUCUCUCGAUCAUUUUCCGAAGCCGAGCCAUGGCUCAUUCAUCCAUUGCGAGUACCAAUACUGUUCUAACUACAGAAUGAACGUGCGGGAAGAAGAAUGAGGAUCAGGAGGUCGACCUCUUGAUCAUCAUACUUCUCCGCACAUGUUCAAUCUGCAAUUACAGUAACAUUGUUGGUACUCUCAAUGGAUGAAUGUGUUGAUUCUAUUGGCCUGGCGGCCACUUCGGAGGGGUGCUGGCGUAAGUUUUCUUUUUUGAAUUUCUUCAUAAGUGCAAACUGUUUUCUCUCUUGAUUUCUUUUUUAACAAACAACAAAAGGAAACAUAUUCACCAAAUUAGCAGACUAAAAAUACAACAGAAAAACAUGUUAAAUCCUAAUGCAAACUCGGAAAGGUAAUCGUUUUAUUUCUUUAUAUUACCUUGUAGCAACAUUGAUUGGCAUGACCAUACUCGUACAAGGUCCGCACCACUGUAUCAUUGAGUUCUAAGGCGACCAGAAACCAAUUCUGGUGGAUGAACCGUGACUAUGGAAUAAGAGCCUGAUAACAGCCUCCAUGGCCUUCCAGGGGUCAUGGAGCCGUAGAGGAUCAUUCUCGACUACCCUUCAUUUCUUUCGCUCAUAUAACCUGACUAUAACUAUGAGAAUAGGCAAAUAACAUUUUUCACUCAGUCAGCAGCUCAUAAAUGUUGGAGUAAUCAUGGAACAUGUUACACUAUUUUACGGAAGUUUGGAUCUGAGCUUUCCGAUUGACAAUGAUAUGAAGGUCAAAGGACUAAUAGUCCCACAUCGUCAAGUGAAGAAGAUAGAAUAGUAGUAGGGAGAUACUAUAUAAAUGGGCCCAGGACAGCGUAGCAACAUACUUACCUGGACGAGGUCAAUGGGUGAUCAACAAGGUCCAUGGCCUAGGUUGGUGACCUUCAUUGCACUUUGGAGGGGUGCCAGCCUAAGGUCGGCCCAAGUGGCUGAGCCUACGUCAUAAUUUGUGGCAGCGGGGGCCUGCGUUCGCGCGGCCCCUACCCAAUUCAAAGUCUAAAUCUCUUACUCGAUACAUGGAUUGUGAACUUGAUGUUUCUCUAGUUAACCUAAAUGUUUUUUCUUGAAAGAAAGAUAAGCUCUUGGUACAUUUGUAAUUCAGAAUCUGGUUUACUUGAUAUGAUUAUGGAAUCAUUGAACAUACUAGAAGUUGUAUCCUCCAAAAAUAGGUGUAUGCCACUAUUUGCACCGCGCACACAGUAUUCUUUAAUUAAAGGAGAAAGAAUAGUUCAAUCUGUGGUCACUGCGUGGAAGUUGUAUCUAAUUUCAAGGGCUAAGGACAUCUAUGAGACAUACUUACCUUGACGGGGUCAAUGGGCGAUCAUGAAGGCCCAUGGCCUAGGUUGGCCACCUCCAUUGCACUUUGGAGGGGUGCUUGCCUAAGGUCGACCCAAGUGGUCGAGCCUACGUCAUAAUUUGUGGCAGCGGGGGCCUGCGUUUGUGUGGCCCCUACCUAACACCCACAUUCUUAUGAAUUUUUCAAAUAGAAAAUAUUAACUAUGAGAGAUUUAAGGGAACGUGGUCUUGUUAUUCUCACAAUGGUCAUAUGUAUCCACAUUUAUUACAUAAUUCAACAUACUGUUCAUCUAAUAAUGUUUGAAUUUUUACUGUUAGAUUGAACAUGUGCAAUGAUUUUACUUGAUAGACUGAGGUAGCGGUCAUUGUUAGAUUGAACAUAUGUAAUGAUUUUACUUGAUAUACUGAGGUGGCGGUCGUUAUAACAGUUAGUGUACACUCAGAACCAUACGCCUUUUGCAGUGGGUCCAAUCAAAACAUUGCUUCCAACUUUGACCAUGUAUAUACAACAAUAACAUACUUCCACUAAUCUCACAAGGUGAGCGAAGGGUAGUGUGUAUGUAGCCUUACCCCUAUUUUGAGGAGGUAGAGAGGCUGUUUUCAGUAGACCUUCAGCUAAAGUGAAGUAUGUCGAAGCAAAGCUCUCAGUGCUCAUCAUCAAUACAUGUUGAUGUGUUAACUAUCACAUUGACGGGGGAUUAAAAAUUAAUGUGAUACUAAUUGAGGCAUUUAACGCGCUACUAUCUCCAUUUACACAUUUUGCAAACUGGUUCCGUUAAGCAAUUAAUGCAUGACCAUCCAUAUAAAAAUUCACUGCAGAGAUAUCAUUGUAUCCUCUGUAGUUUGGCUGUUAGACUUCGCCCCUAGUUUUGAUUGUUGGAAUGUCGGGAAAGGAAGAUGCCUCAGCUGGUGGAGCUGAUGGCUCUCAGGAGCCAUGCCAACUUGCAAAUAGUGGGAGAAUGUACUGGCGGUCAGCAUCUUGGUUGUCUUCGAGGACUUCAUUGCCUCCGCUUAAUCCAGAUAUCGAAAAAGAUGGGUUGGAUCCAAAUGAAGGUAACAGAUCUCAUGGUCGGAGGCGGCCUUUAGCCCCUAGGUCGACACAGAGUUUUAAGGCUAGGGCGCGUCUUUCACCAUUGCAGGACAUCUAAUUCAUUGAAUACGAGAAACUUUCGUCACCAAAAGUUGACCAAGUUGGAGUGUCCACUAAAACUUAAUCGAUGAAAUAGUUUUUCACCUCAUCCUAGAGUUAGGGGAUUCUUGUGACCUCAAUUCAUAUUCAAAAGUAUUCACACACUAUAGGAUUGAUCAUCACACAUGUAUUAAGAAAGAAUCACUGGGUUUGGGCCUAUAUGCAUAGGAACGAUGGUUAAAACUUUAUCCCGAAAGUACGGGGUGUUACAUCCGGAUACUAUAGUUAUAAAAAAAACAAAGAGAAAAUUCUUUAGAUUUAUAUUGUGAUCUUAUCUUUAGAUCUUUCAGUUGGGAGUUUGCUUUCAUUUCUUGGGACUGGGGAGUUAACAACAGUAUGUUUUAAUAUGUCAAGCAUGGUCUUACGAAUUUCUUUAUAUGAUAUCAGAGUGAGACUCAAUUCGUAUUUCUUGAUUUACCCAUUGAGCCCCCAUGUCUUGGGCGUGGAUGCAAGGAGAGGGGGGAGGGUGUUUAUAUUCCUAUAUUGGUCAAGAGAACGGGCUGUUGUUGUCUCUGUUGUAUGGUUUGAGCAUUCAUCUCGUGAGCUUUGUAGUUGAGUCAAAACUCAAGAUCGUCAGCUUUCUUUACCGUCACCUUAACUGAUCCGUUACCAUGUUUCUUGUGCAGGAGGCUGUUGUUACAAGUUGUCAGAGGUGGUUUACCUGAAUGUACAUGUUACAGUGCGGCAACACCCAUUGACCGUUACAGGCAAUUCGCUGACUAGACAUUUCAUUGAACAUUUGCCAUGACUUAGAAAUUCGAAACUUCUAAGCCAGUUUAGGCAACAUCAUAUUUCUUUAAGUCAUAGUUACUUUACUUCCCUUUUGAUAGGGAAUAAUCACGGAUAUGGACUUAGGAGAGUGUGUGUUGGACCCGAGCCUUGGCAUGUGCAAUUGAAGUGUAAAAGAGACCCAAAAUGCACCCAAAUAAGCCCAUAAAUUACACUUGAUGGGUGCUCACUCUUUGAAGGGCCUUUUGGUCAUUUUAACUUAUAUUUUGUAAUAGCUAUAAAAGGAACAUUGUAGGNNNNNNNNNNNNNNNNNNNNNNNNNNNNNNNNNNNNNNNNNNNNNNNNNNNNNNNNNNNNNNNNNNNNNNNNNNNNNNNNNNNNNNNNNNNNNNNNNNNNNNNNNNNNNNNNNNNNNNNNNNNNNNNNNNNNNNNNNNNNNNNNNNNNNNNNNNNNNNNNNNNNNNNNNNNNNNNNNNNNNNNNNNNNNNNNNNNNNNNNNNNNNNNNNNNNNNNNNNNNNNNNNNNNNNNNNNNNNNNNNNNNNNNNNNNNNNNNNNNNNNNNNNNNNNNNNNNNNNNNNNNNNNNNNNNNNNNNNNNNNNNNNNNNNNNNNNNNNNNNNNNNNNNNNNNNNNNNNNNNNNNNNNNNNNNNNNNNNNNNNNNNNNNNNNNNNNNNNNNNNNNNNNNNNNNNNNNNNNNNNNNNNNNNNNNNNNNNNNNNNNNNNNNNNNNNNNNNNNNNNNNNNNNNNNNNNNNNNNNNNNNNNNNNNNNNNNNNNNNNNNNNNNNNNNNNNNNNNNNNNNNNNNNNNNNNNNNNNNNNNNNNNNNNNNNNNNNNNNNNNNNNNNNNNNNNNNNNNNNNNNNNNNNNNNNNNNNNNNNNNNNNNNNNNNNNNNNNNNNNNNNNNNNNNNNNNNNNNNNNNNNNNNNNNNNNNNNNNNNNNNNNNNNNNNNNNNNNNNNNNNNNNNNNNNNNNNNNNNNNNNNNNNNNNNNNNNNNNAUCCAUUGUUGUUGUCUUGGCCGAAAUUGUGUUCUUGUGGUGUUCUUGGCCGAGAUUUGUUCUCGAGUGUAGGUCUAGGAGUAUUUUACUUGUCUUGUGUGUUUGUGGUGUCAUUUUUGUUCCUCACUAACACUUUGAGUCUAUCCAAACUUGAGCUUGAAUUGUUAAUAUUGUUGUUGUGAAGAAAGUGUGACCGAUUGGAUGUUGUUGUUCUAGCCUUGACCGAGUUGAAGACCUUGUGUUGUGGUGGUGUUGUAGAUAUUGAAAGGUUGUUGUUGUAUUCUUGUUGUUCAUCACCCCCUUCACCUUUUGUAAAAUCGAAAACACAACACGAAGGGGGCUUAGUCGAUUGUUGUUGCUAUCCUUGUGGUCUUAGCCGUGAGAUUGUUGACCUUGUUUUGGUGGACUUGUUGUUCUUGGGAGAUUGUUGUUGUUUGUUCUUGUUGUGGUUGUUGUGUUCUUGAAGUUCUUCACCAUAUUCAUCACUUUGUUAAUAUUAAAGUGAACUUAGAUCUUAAAAAGGUGAAAGACAAGGUGUAGUACUUGUUAAGCCUUGAAAGACCCCCAACCACCAAAAGGUUUUACAUUACAUCUCCACCACUUUUUCAUAAAAGAAGGGUCCAUGUUUUAAGGAAAAGUACAAGUCUAGUCCAAGACUUUUGAGUCUUGAAAUUUGAAUUCCAAAGACUAGUUUGUAUUUCCCUUCAUUGAACAAUUUUCACCAAAGUAAACAAAUUAUAGAAUUGAUCAAGACUUCCAAAUUUGGAAAAUAAAAUUAUUGAGAACCGAGGCCAAUCAUGCACUUCUACAUCACCAAUUACUGUUCAACGACAAAUUUUAAGAUCAAAUUUUGAUCUUUUAGUAUCAUUUUGUGUCUUUUGUUUCGUUUGUUGAUUCCCAUACUAACUUACAAGCUAGUGAUCAAUUACUAGAUUGUGAUUUAGUUUGAAACCGUAUUUUUUAUGUGUGUGUUUACGUUCCUUUGUGUGUUUCAUUCUUUUGAGUCACUGUAAACACUUGAUUUACUUCUCAACAACUCUCAGAGUACAAACAGGCUUUCAACACUUGCGAGAUUGAGUGUGAGGGAUCCGAGAGACAAGAAAUAAAAGAGAGAGUGAGGAUGUUUAUGUACAAAUAAUGUGUUUUUUAUUUUGUAGGUAACUCCUUUACCAUAAUGGACACCAUUUUGGCCCACCUUGAUGCUAUUGCCCGAGAAAUAUCUAAGGCGAAUGCGGGUCUUGACAAAUUGGGCUCGGAUAUGUCUACUAUACUUGAGAGGUUGGAUCGAGUGGAGAGUCGAAGGAACUCUCAUGUUUCUACUCCCAAAGCUUUACCUCAAAUGAUCAACCCUCCAAGACCACCACUAAAUGACAUCGACAUAAGCCAAAAUAACAAAUGUCCUCAAGCCCGAGACCUAAAUGAGUCACUUCCCCCUCAAUUCAAUCAAGUCCAACAAGAGAGACUUAGAAGCCAAUUUCCUCCCAGCCAAGCUCCACAACCGAAGCCCCCCUUAUCAACUCAUUCAUCUCAAUCGAAAAUCUACUUCACCAAAACUGAUAUAUCUAUGUAGAGGAGUAUGGUAGAAAAGAACAUGAAGGAUAUGGUGUAAUGCCCUGCAAUUCGGGCUACAAUAUAGACCAUGAUUUUGAUGCGUUGUUAAUCCCGAAGCCAUAAAAAUUCUAUGCCAACACGGCAUGUUAAUUGUCAUGUAGCAUGUGAAAUCCACUCAAGCUUGAAUUUAGACCACAGAGGUCCCUCAACUCAAGGACGAGUUGAAACUAUUUUGAUCGACUAAGUUUUAGUGGACGUUUGUCAGCUUCCUUCGAUCAUAACUCUCUAUAUAUGUCCAAUUAGGGAACCUAUUAUGUGUCAAAUGAUAGGUAUUCGAGUUAGAUUUCCAACGAUACCAAUUUGGCUAAAAUCCGACACCCGAGCAAGAAGUUAUGGCCUUUCAAAGUGAUAAGCGACGCCUAACCAAUCGCCCAUGGCCACUGGAAAGCAUAGGCAAUAGCCUAGGCGGCACCUACGUGAACAUAGGCGAUAGCCUAGGCGGCGCCUAUGUAAACAUAGGUGAUAGCCUAGGCAGUAAACAUAGGCGAUAGCCUAAGCGGUAAACAUAGGUGAUAGCCAAGGCGGCGCCUAUGUGAAGAUAGGUGAUGGGAUGGGCGGUGUCUAUGUAAGGAAUUCUAGUGAUUUAAACACUCCGUGUUGAGGACAAAGUGGUCCUUUUCCACCCUUAUUUAUCCCUAAAACACGAGAUUUGUUUCCAAGUACCCCAAAAUACUUAUUCUUUCAUCAAAAGUGCUCAAGAUUCUCCUUAGGGUUUCAAAAUAAAAACCCAAGCUACUCAAGAUUCAACCGUGGGUUUUAGAAACUAAUUGCAUAUUUGGAAUCCUCUCAACGUAGGCUUCAAGAAGCACCUAACAUUCAUAGUAAUCGAGGUACGUGGGGUUAUCCAAAAAUCUCAUGGGUGUAGUUUUAUGAACAUGCAUGCUUUUAAAUGGGGGUUUUCAAUCAAAUGCUAAUAUCUUGCUUUCAAUAUGACUUCUAACUCAUUUUCUUUAUGUCAUGGGAAUUGUUUGUCUAUAUACUUCAAUGGUUGAAACCAUGCAUAUGUGAUUUGAGAUUUUCCAUGGAAGUAGAUAAAUAUGAAUGAUAAACUGUUUUCAACUUCCCAUGAUAAUGUUUCGAUACUCCAUAUUAUAUUGUGAUCAACAAAAGAGAGCAUGAAUUUGAAAUAAAUAUUGUUCACCACUUAUAAAUGAUGAAGCACCUUGGUUUUUACAUGAUUAUGCAUAUGUGGAUGUGAUAUUGAUGACUUGCAAGUUGGGUAUGAUGAUACCCUACAGAAUACGAUACGUGAUUGAAUUGAAUGA
rnacentral:lncRNA from 1 species